AGUUGGCUGAGGUAACAAGUAUGAGCAGUAUGUGGUUAAGUAGAAAUAAUAAGUUAAUAACCUUUUGCGUCUCCUUUAGGGAUGCCAAGCCCAAAUAAAGUAUAUCCAAAGUCAAUCCUAUGUUAAUCUCAAAUUAAAAUCACACUACAUUGAGCUUUAUGCUGCGUUUGGCACUGCGGUGGAUUAUUAUAAUCCCAUUUGCUCAAACCUGCCUUUGCCUAUUGUAGUGUUCGUUUGACUCGCUUUUGCUUACUUUGCUGCUAAUUUUCCACAACAGAUUAUAGAAUAGGCACAACAAAAUAAGUACGCAUGGGGAGCUUUUGUGGGCGCCUGCUUGCAUCCGUUGUUUUCCUUAGUUCAACUGGUUACUCAUGUAGAAUUCAGUUUUUUAUCUCGACUAACAAAUGGAAGGAUUGUGGCAUUCCCAGGUAUAGGCAGGUGGCAUACCUGAAACUCCAACGACAUGAUGAUGCCGUGUCAACUGUUGCAUAAAUCACCUCCAGAAAAUCUGAAUUUGAUGUAUUGGUUUUGAUGAAAGGGCAGUGGGCCUGAGGUAUUGCCUAGGAAGUCAAUUUAAUUUCCUGUUUCAUCUCUGUAAUUAAAAAAAAAAAUCCUUCCGAGACUUCUGUUUACUGGUAUAAAUAUUGGAUGUGGUAGUUUCCAUAGCAGGCCUAAUCCUGACAAAUACGACUCGUACAGCUAAGAGUUUGAUGCUGUUGCACGACUAUUAUAUUAAAAAUUGUAUGCCUGUUCGAUGCACUGACAUUGAUGUCUCGGUAAACAAACUGAUGCAAGAAGGCACACUGAGUUUUGUUAUCUUAGGAUGAGUUUGUUAUCUUAUGGCGUGUUUGGUUAUUGGCAUCAAAUUUGGCCGUUUUGCAUCAUGUUUUGCAUCAUGUUUUGUUGCAUGCAAUCGAUUGCUUGCAUCAGGGUAGCAACUUCCCCAUCGGUGUUUGGUUGCCUGCCUUUCAUGAUUUUUGGCUGGGCUGAUGCAGUAGGUUGUGUUUGGUAGCACACAUUUGGCCUGAUGUUGUGCGCUUACCGGCUACCAUCCUAAUCAGUGUUGUCAUAACAUCAAAACAACAAUAAUAAUAAACACACAAUCAUUGAUCACACGAUAACAUCAAGACCACAAUACUAAUAAACACAAUAAUAAUAAACUGGAUGAAGAACUGCAGCCUUGGGUAUUUCAUGCUUGCUCUUCUCUUUGAAUACCAAUUUAGAGUAAUCAUCUUUCAUCUCCCUAAUCUUAGUUCCUUCGUAACAGUAGUUUUUGUAACCAUUCACUUGUUCAUGGCAUUGUAGACUCAUGGAACCAUCCUUGUGCACCACAUACCACUCAUCUACUAGGGUAGAAGAACAAGAUUUAUACAAGUAGGACAAGCAACAUAAGUUGAGAAGAACAUAAUGAACAUAACUAUGCACGAUUCAUAUGCCUAAAGGCAUCGCAAGUUCAUCUCACCUACUAUGGUGUCAUCCCACCAUUACAUCAAAAAGAGGGUGUAACCUUGCCACCGUAAGUUUACUAUCACCAUGAGGUAUACCACCUCAUCAAAAAUAUAAAAGCCCUACCUACCGGAAAAUAUACAUCGUCGUCGUCAUCAUCAUCAUCAUGCAUGCCAUCACCACCAAACCUCUGCACUAGUACUAGUGCUUGCACAACGAGAGUACCCUAUGCCACGCUUCCAUCCCAACAAAGCCAAGACACUGUGACUUGUUGUCCAGGAGGUGACUAAGAGCCACCCUGUAACAAUCAAGAUGGGAAUGGGCCGGCCCAGACCUGGCCUUGGACCUGGCCCGUGGCCUCAAGGCCAAUUUUAAGGGGCCACGGGUCGACCCAUUCUGACUAAAUCCCGUGGCCUCGCUGGCCCAUUGGGUACCCCAGGGCCAACCCAAAAUUCAGCUAGAAUUACACACAACAUUACACUAAUGCACAACCAUACAAAAACUGAAUGUACACAAUCAUACAUAUGGAUCAAUUCUCAGCAUGGAAGAUUCAUCUCAAUCAGAGAACAAUACAAGGGAAUUCUCCACAAUCACUUAUGCAGAUUUAAGCAAUCUCAACUUCAAACACAAAUCCUAGCUACUAAUCAAUUUUGCAGAAAAUAACAUGUGCACAGCCACUGCAGCUACGUGUGCAAGACGCAAGAAAUCAACAUAAAUCCUACUAGCUACUAAUCCUAGCUAGCAAGAAAUUGCACAGCCGCUGCUACACAGCUACAGCCCGAACAGGAGUACAGGAAGCAAAAAAUUGCACAGCGCUGCAGCUAGCCAGCUACCUGUGCUUGGCGACAGGGAUGGAGAGCUCGACGGCGACCGGGACGGCGAGCUUGAGGCGCACCAGCGUGAGGAACGCCGGCGGCGGCAGAGAUGGCCAGGGCCGGGCGGCGGCAGAGACGGUCGUGGGCGGCCGGUGGCAGAGACGGUCGGGGGCGGCCGAGGGCGGAAGAGAUUGGUCGAGGGCGCCGCAGAGAUGGACUAGGACGUAGCUCUCAUCUGGGUCGACCCGUGUGAUCCAUCGGGUCAGAUGGUGCCGGCUCCACUGACCCGUCUACUGCUUAAGGCCAACCUGCCUGGCCCAUUGGCCUCGAGAUUUUGGGCCGGGUCAGUGACCCAGCGGGCCGACCCGGCCCAUUCCCAUCUUGAUGUAACAACCUGAGACUGAUGCUCAAGUUGCCUUCCAUGUUUUUUGUGAUAACUGCGUUAAUUAUUUGUUUGUUGCAUUCAUUAUCGCAUCAUUCGCAUUGCAUUGGUACCCCGCAGCUGUCAUUUUACAAAACUUGUAUCCAUUCGUAGUUGUCGGUUCUCGUCGUUGACNNNNNNNNNNNNNNNNNNNNNNNNNNNNNNNNNNNNNNNNNNNNNNNNNNNNNNNNNNNNNNNNNNNNNNNNNNNNNNNNNNNNNNNNNNNNNNNNNNNNUAUAUAUAUAUAUAUAUAUAUAUAUAUAUAUAUAUAUAUAUAUAUAUAUAUAUAUGACCCAAGUUAAAUUUCUGGCAAAAUGUAAGCGGUUUAAGAUCAGUUUUGAAAACCGUUUUUUCUUCAUAUAAAAAACAUGAAUCGUAUUUUGGAUCAUAUUUUUAAACCGUUUAUCGGAAUGAGGAAAAUAAUAUGGCGUUGGAAAGCUUCUGAAAAACCACUCCUUCCACAUGUUGAAAGUUUUCUAUAAUUCCCUACGGUUAAAGAGUAAUUCAGAAAAUCGUAGAAUUUCGCAAAUGGAAAACCCAAGUUUGUAUUUUCGAUGCCAUUUCUAAACGACUAAUCCAAUUGAGGCAAAUAAUAUGGCGUUGGAAAGCUUAUGAAAAUGCUCUACUUUUUCAUGUUAAAAGUUUUUUCUAAUUUUAAACGGUUUAAAAUUAAUUUAGAAAAUGGUACAAGUUCCACCGAGUUCGUAUUUUUGAGCUAAUUUUUUAACCGUACGUCCAAAUGCAGCAAAUGAUAUGGUGUUGGAAAGCUUGAAAAAAUGCGGAACAUUUUUUUAUAUAUUGUUUCUCCUAAUUUAUUACGGUUUUAUGUCAGUUUUGAAAAUGGAUAAAAUGUAUUUUUACCGUAAUUUCUACAAACUUUGUCGGAAUGGGGAAAAAAUAUACCGUGGAAAAGGUACGGAAAAUUCGAAACUUUUUCAUGUUGAUGGUUUUCUGUGAUUCCUUGCCGUUUUUCAAGUAAUUUCGAAAAUGGCGAGAUCGUUCGUUCUGCCUUUAUCGCGAAACAGAUUCUUCGAAAAUGCACCGCGUGAAAAACCUGAACUUCUCGGCAUGUCUACUUGAACUUCACUCUGUUUUUCACGUGCUUUUUUGCCCGUAGCUCUCCAUCCACUGCUCGUAGCUCUCCAUCCACUCACCGGAAUUGAACAAGUGAUAUACCGAUGGAAAACUGCUGUAAACACGCAACUUUCCCGUGUUGAUUGUUUUUUCAUACUCGCGACAAUUUUAAAACUUUUUCAUCUCAAAUUCAUUCACUAUAGUAGUCGAUUUUCCUGUUGUUUUCACGUUGAACUUUUGUGACGUAUUUUCAUUUGUAAUUUUCUCAUUCAUUCAUCAGUGUUACAUAAAUGAUAUUAUUUUUGUACAAACCUCUCUCAUGAUAAUUUUUUUAAUUUUCUCCGACGAGGAACUACAACAAAAAUGCCACGUAUAGUCGCUUUUUCUGAGAUGCUAUUUGUAUUCGUCUCUAUGCGCAUGAACACUAGCGGGCUAAGGAUGCUUCUUAAGACGCUUACAUAACGCCAGAAAAUUUUCUUAUAAUUAGUAAUUUAGAAAAUAAGUAUGUAAUUUUAAUUAACUUAGAGACGAUGUGUGAGACGCUUUAAUACACGAUUCUUUUCUUAUCUUGGCUUAUGAGAAUUUUGAAUAAUCAAAAAAAUUAAAAUUUGAUAGCUAUAAAAAUUAGUUGUGCUAAAAUUCAAAACAUGACCAAAGUAACCACACCAAAGAAUGAAUCAAGAGGCAUUUUUGUAAAUCUUUGUCUAGCUGCCUCCUCCUCCUCCAAGAAAGGAAGCCGUGCCUCUCGCCGGCGCCGAUGCAGAUCCACCUCGUCUCCGGUGGCCCUAGGGCCAUGGAGGCAUGGUGGAUCCUGGCAAGGGCCGACGGGAGGGCUCCGUUUUUAGUCAUUUUUUACAAUCUUGCUAUGGUUUGUGUCCUGCUCAGGAAGGUGAGACGGCGGAGGCUCCCUGAAGAUGGAAUAAAGGUCUCCCCGCCUAGCCCCCGUUCCGGCGGUGCGUCUAGUAUCGUUGGUGGGUGUGUGGAGGUGUGUCUCCGGCAGAUCUAUCUUUGGUGGAUUUGCUCAGAUCUCGUCGUUGUUCGUCUAUGUUCAUGUGUCUUUGGUUUGGAUCCUUCUGAUCUACGUUAUUUUUCAUCAGCGGCGGUUGCUGUUCCGGGGUGCUGGUCCUUUGGGGCCUUAGCACGACGACUUCCCGAAUGUCUACUAUAACAAGUUGUGCCCGACUCCGGCGAUGGAGGGGCAAUGAUGGCGGCGCGUCUUCGGCUUGCUUUAGGGCUUGUAGUCGUCAUUAGGUGGUCUAUAAAUCUAGAUGUAAUUUUUAUUUCUAGUGUUCGUUGUACUGUCAUGAUCGAAGAUGAAUAGAUUAAAAAUUUUAUGGUAAAAAAGGCAUUUUUGUAUUUGAUUGUAACCUUAAUAAUACCCUCUAUAAUAGUAUUACCUUUGUAAUAUUGUACUGUCAAGACAGAAAACCUUAAUUAUCCCUGAAUUUAUGCAACUCCCCUCGGAAAAGGAAGGGGAGGGGGGGCUCGGUUCUUUUUUUAACACAGUACAGACGCAAGCGCUCACCUCCCACUGAAAGCAUAUCGCAGAAAUUCCUGAAAUAAAUCCAAGAUAAAUGCGAGCACCAGGAUUUGAACCCUGGUGGGUUAGGGAUACCAGGGUCCAUCUAACCAUAGAGUUUCACUAUGGCACGUCAUUGAUAGAGCCUUUCCAUCUCGACGUGUACGCGAUGGUGGAAAUGAAGGAAAUAUGCCCUAGAUGCAAUAAUAAAGUUAUUAUUUAUUUCCUUAUAUCAUGAUAAAAGUUUAUUAUUCAUGCUAGAAUUGUAUUAACCGGAAACUUAAUACAUGUGUGAAUACAUAGGCAAACAGAGUGUCACUAGUAUGCCUCUACUAGACUAGCUUGUUAAUCAAAGAUGGUUAUGUUUCCUAACCAUGGCCAAAGAGUUGUCAUCUGAUUAACAGGAUCACAUCAUUAGUUGAAUGAUCUGAUUGACAUGACCCAUUCCAUUAGCUUAGCACCGGAUCGUUUAGUAUGUUGCUAUUGCUUUCUUCAUGACUUAUACAUGUUCCUAUGACUAUGAGAUUAUGCAACUCCCGUUUGCCAGAGGAACACUUUGUGUGCUACCAAACAUCACAACGUAACUGGGUGAUUAUAAAGGAGCUCUACAGGUGUCUCCAAAGGUACAUGUUGGGUUGGCGUAUUUCGAGAUUAGGAUUUGUCACUCCGAUUGUCGAAGAGGUAUCUCUGGGCCCUCUCGGUAAUGCACAUCACUUAAGCCUUGCAAGCAUUGCAACUAAUGAGUUAGUUGCGGGAUGAUGUAUUACAGAANNNNNNNNNNNNNNNNNNNNNNNNNNNNNNNNNNNNNNNNNNNNNNNNNNNNNNNNNNNNNNNNNNNNNNNNNNNNNNNNNNNNNNNNNNNNNNNNNNNNUAUAUAUAUAUAUAUAUAUAUAUAUAUAUAUAUAUAUAUAUAUAUAUAUAUAUAUGACCCAAGUUAAAUUUCUGGCAAAAUGUAAGCGGUUUAAGAUCAGUUUUGAAAACCGUUUUUUCUUCAUAUAAAAAACAUGAAUCGUAUUUUGGAUCAUAUUUUUAAACCGUUUAUCGGAAUGAGGAAAAUAAUAUGGCGUUGGAAAGCUUCUGAAAAACCACUCCUUCCACAUGUUGAAAGUUUUCUAUAAUUCCCUACGGUUAAAGAGUAAUUCAGAAAAUCGUAGAAUUUCGCAAAUGGAAAACCCAAGUUUAUAUUUUCGAUGCCAUUUCUAAACGACUAAUCCAAUUGAGGCAAAUAAUAUGGCGUUGGAAAGCUUAUGAAAAUGCUCUACUUUUUCAUGUUAAAAGUUUUUUCUAAUUUUAAACGGUUUAAAAUUAAUUUAGAAAAUGGUACAAGUUCCACCGAGUUCGUAUUUUUGAGCUAAUUUUUUAACCGUACGUCCAAAUGCAGCAAAUGAUAUGGUGUUGGAAAGCUUGAAAAAAUGUGGAACAUUUUUUUAUAUAUUGUUUCUCCUAAUUUAUUACGGUUUUAUGUCAGUUUUGAAAAUGGAUAAAAUGUAUUUUUACCGUAAUUUCUACAAACUUUGUCGGAAUGGGGAAAAAAUAUACCGUGGAAAAGGUACGGAAAAUUCGAAACUUUUUCAUGUUGAUGGUUUUCUGUGAUUCCUUGCCGUUUUUCAAGUAAUUUCGAAAAUGGCGAGAUCGUUCGUUCUGCCUUUAUCGCGAAACAGAUUCUUCGAAAAUGCACCGCGUGAAAAACCUGAACUUCUCGGCAUGUCUACUUGAACUUCACUCUGUUUUUCACGUGCUUUUUUGCCCGUAGCUCUCCAUCCACUGCUCGUAGCUCUCCAUCCACUCACCGGAAUUGAACAAGUGAUAUACCGAUGGAAAACUGCUGUAAACACGCAACUUUCCCGUGUUGAUUGUUUUUUCAUACUCGCGACAAUUUUAAAACUUUUUCAUCUCAAAUUCAUUCACUAUAGUAGUCGAUUUUCCUGUUGUUUUCACGUUGAACUUUUGUGACGUAUUUUCAUUUGUAAUUUUCUCAUUCAUUCAUCAGUGUUACAUAAAUGAUAUUAUUUUUGUACAAACCUCUCUCAUGAUAAUUUUUUUAAUUUUCUCCGACGAGGAACUACAACAAAAAUGCCACGUAUAGUCGCUUUUUCUGAGAUGCUAUUUGUAUUCGUCUCUAUGCGCAUGAACACUAGCGGGCUAAGGAUGCUUCUUAAGACGCUUACAUAACGCCAGAAAAUUUUCUUAUAAUUAGUAAUUUAGAAAAUAAGUAUGUAAUUUUAAUUAACUUAGAGACGAUGUGUGAGACGCUUUAAUACACGAUUCUUUUCUUAUCUUGGCUUAUGAGAAUUUUGAAUAAUCAAAAAAAUUAAAAUUUGAUAGCUAUAAAAAUUAGUUGUGCUAAAAUUCAAAACAUGACCAAAGUAACCACACCAAAGAAUGAAUCAAGAGGCAUUUUUGUAAAUCUUUGUCUAGCUGCCUCCUCCUCCUCCAAGAAAGGAAGCCGUGCCUCUCGCCGGCGCCGAUGCAGAUCCACCUCGUCUCCGGUGGCCCUAGGGCCAUGGAGGCAUGGUGGAUCCUGGCAAGGGCCGACGGGAGGGCUCCGUUUUUAGUCAUUUUUUACAAUCUUGCUAUGGUUUGUGUCCUGCUCAGGAAGGUGAGACGGCGGAGGCUCCCUGAAGAUGGAAUAAAGGUCUCCCCGCCUAGCCCCCGUUCCGGCGGUGCGUCUAGUAUCGUUGGUGGGUGUGUGGAGGUGUGUCUCCGGCAGAUCUAUCUUUGGUGGAUUUGCUCAGAUCUCGUCGUUGUUCGUCUAUGUUCAUGUGUCUUUGGUUUGGAUCCUUCUGAUCUACGUUAUUUUUCAUCAGCGGCGGUUGCUGUUCCGGGGUGCUGGUCCUUUGGGGCCUUAGCACGACGACUUCCCGAAUGUCUACUAUAACAAGUUGUGCCCGACUCCGGCGAUGGAGGGGCAAUGAUGGCGGCGCGUCUUCGGCUUGCUUUAGGGCUUGUAGUCGUCAUUAGGUGGUCUAUAAAUCUAGAUGUAAUUUUUAUUUCUAGUGUUCGUUGUACUGUCAUGAUCGAAGAUGAAUAGAUUAAAAAUUUUAUGGUAAAAAAGGCAUUUUUGUAUUUGAUUGUAACCUUAAUAAUACCCUCUAUAAUAGUAUUACCUUUGUAAUAUUGUACUGUCAAGACAGAAAACCUUAAUUAUCCCUGAAUUUAUGCAACUCCCCUCGGAAAAGGAAGGGGAGGGGGGGCUCGGUUCUUUUUUUAACACAGUACAGACGCAAGCGCUCACCUCCCACUGAAAGCAUAUCGCAGAAAUUCCUGAAAUAAAUCCAAGAUAAAUGCGAGCACCAGGAUUUGAACCCUGGUGGGUUAGGGAUACCAGGGUCCAUCUAACCAUAGAGUUUCACUAUGGCACGUCAUUGAUAGAGCCUUUCCAUCUCGACGUGUACGCGAUGGUGGAAAUGAAGGAAAUAUGCCCUAGAUGCAAUAAUAAAGUUAUUAUUUAUUUCCUUAUAUCAUGAUAAAAGUUUAUUAUUCAUGCUAGAAUUGUAUUAACCGGAAACUUAAUACAUGUGUGAAUACAUAGGCAAACAGAGUGUCACUAGUAUGCCUCUACUAGACUAGCUUGUUAAUCAAAGAUGGUUAUGUUUCCUAACCAUGGCCAAAGAGUUGUCAUCUGAUUAACAGGAUCACAUCAUUAGUUGAAUGAUCUGAUUGACAUGACCCAUUCCAUUAGCUUAGCACCGGAUCGUUUAGUAUGUUGCUAUUGCUUUCUUCAUGACUUAUACAUGUUCCUAUGACUAUGAGAUUAUGCAACUCCCGUUUGCCAGAGGAACACUUUGUGUGCUACCAAACAUCACAACGUAACUGGGUGAUUAUAAAGGAGCUCUACAGGUGUCUCCAAAGGUACAUGUUGGGUUGGCGUAUUUCGAGAUUAGGAUUUGUCACUCCGAUUGUCGAAGAGGUAUCUCUGGGCCCUCUCGGUAAUGCACAUCACUUAAGCCUUGCAAGCAUUGCAACUAAUGAGUUAGUUGCGGGAUGAUGUAUUACAGAANNNNNNNNNNNNNNNNNNNNNNNNNNNNNNNNNNNNNNNNNNNNNNNNNNNNNNNNNNNNNNNNNNNNNNNNNNNNNNNNNNNNNNNNNNNNNNNNNNNNCUGUUACAUGAUGAACCGCAUCCGGCAUAAUCUCCAUCACCGAUCCAUUGCCUACGAGCUUUCCAUAUAUUGUUCUUCGCUUAUUUACUUUCCCGUCGCUAUUGCUAUCAUCACUACAAAAUACCAAAAACAUUGCUUUUACUACUGUUACCUUUUGCUACCGUUAUCACUACUAUCAUAUUACUUUCCUACUAAACACUUUGUUGCAGAUACUAAGUUUCCAGGUGCGGUUUAAUUGACAACUCAGCUGCUAAUACUUGAGAAUAUUCUUUGGCUCCCCUUGUGUCGAAUCAAUAAAUUUGGGUUGAAUACUUUACCCUCGAAAACUAUUGCGAUCCCCUAUACUUGCGGGUUAUCACCGAACCUGAUGUUCCUUUAUUUAUCAUGGCAUCAUUCUAAGGAGUCGCUCUUUGACAAGGACUGGAUAACAAAGGCGAAGAUGAUCAGGUGUUCGGCCCCCCUUCCUGAGGGCUUGGAUAAUCCGGUACUGGACAAGAUGCUCGAGCCGGUGCCUUAUCUAGUGCCCUCAAAGGAAGAUGAAGGGGGAUUAAAGAUGGCAAAAGCGGGAUUCACUCAAAUUAAUCUACCAAACCAUAGAAUACUUCGCACGAAUGCAUGACUGACUUGGGAUGAUUCCAAAGGAAGCAAAAACAAGCUCCCUCGAAUUCACGGUGGUAACUUGCAUCGAUUGCACGUGAACUUAGAGGAAGUCACUACUUUCAUCCAAACAUAUACUUCAUGAACGGGGCAUGAUGAAAAUUCUUACACAAGUUUCCAACACUAGCUGGAUGUUCAGCAUGAAUCAUGGAGACAAAAUGCUGCUGAUGGGCUUAACAACAACGCAUCGGAAUUUCCAUAUCACUGGACUUCCACCAUUAUAUGAACAAUGUGAUGGUAUUGGUCAGACCAAAGGAUGUAAUGGUGUAUGCUCGAGGAAUCAACCACGAGUAAGACAACAUUACGAAUAUCGUUGGUUCUAACUUGAUUUGACGAUAGCCCACACUCAAAUCAAGGUUUGAACAAGACAAUAGAUUCAACAGCUGAUCACGGGGAUCAGUUGAUGAGGAUAUCAUCUUUCUUCAACACACACACACACUCAAGGAUAUCCCUUAGUGAUGAACUAAGUCGGACAAGCUUUCAUCUUCCAACUCUCCAAGUUGUUGUUUAGCUUAACCAACUAGCUCAGGGGUAUCCAACACAGAUGCUAGGAGAAGGGGUCGUUACAAGAAACCAACUUGAUCACAAACUCAACAUAGCGGUCAGGUGACAACCUGGUAACACUUCCGAGAAGACAUUCGGAAAAUCACGAACCACCGAAAUGUUAUUAAGCUCAGGAGCAAUCUUGCUUUUCAUGGCAAGACGAUGUGAUCAAUGGAUCAAGGGUUUGACACAAUCCUAACACAUUGAUCGAAUAGUGCUCCGGAAAUAAGGACUAGGUAGAACGAUCAAUCCUAGUAUAGUGAUUUGAUAACCAACACGCUAAGAAUGAUAUUAAUGUCCAUUAACUACCAAGUAACAAGGCUGCUAGGAGUAUUGGUUUCACACAUCACGAUUCACUUGUCGGCAUUCCAGUUACAAUAACAUGGGAACCGAGGAAUCAACAAUGAUGGCAAGAAGUAUCACUGCGUCAAGAAUUCAUUUGAGGGUGUGUGCAAUUCUCACAAUACUCUUGUUAUGAAAGAGGGUGAUACUCCGAGGUAGAACAGAACAAAAGCUGGAUUGGCAUUUUGAUUUGCGGGAUACAACUACUUUGACCCAAUCCUAGAAAUGGACAAGGUACUGGAGUUUGUUUCUCCUAGUCAUUCCGGAAUAGAAUGGCUUGACGGACCACAAGAAUAAUAGGCAUCGAUGAACACGAAUGCACAACUAUUCCUGACUAUCAAUUGAUAGACUAGGGUCGGAAUACAGCUAAGGAGGGUCAACUCAAGGAACAUAUAACUUUCUGAGUUGUGGAUGCAAAGAUUAGUAUGUCGAACCAAGUUCAACAUGUUUCUUCUGGAUAACCCAUGCAAAAAAGUAGAACUGGCAGAUUCACAAUGUAGAAUGGAUAACUCAUCAAGAGCACUCUGGUUGUGAUCUUUUGGUUCAAAAGAACUCCUGCCAAGAAUGGUUCAUGGUAUUUGGAAGAAUGAUAUACCACGGACCUCGAGGACUAUCACAAGGUUACUAAUAUCUUAAGGGAACUAGCAAAUACUAACAACAUGAAGUAGGGUGAAUCUCGGGUUCAAAACCCAGGAGUAGAAUACCUACUAACUAAAUAACAUCAUGAGAUGCUUUCAAGAAUGAUGGCCAGAAUCACCAGACUGGGAAUACGAAAGCGUUGCUAAAUUCUCGAGGACACCUAGGGUCAUAAUACUAACUCCAACAUACACGUCAAGGCAACAGAGUACCUCAACACACCGAUUAGUGUGCUUAAUCUGACCCAAAAUACAACGGGAACAUGGAGGAAAGAUUUGCAAGUGCAUCAGACUAUUUAGAAACCUGGGAUGACUCAGACAGCAUAACGACUGUAAAUGCUCAAAAUGAUUUGAGACAUCCUGCAAAAAUGGUGGCAGAACCACUCAACAUCACAAUAUCAAGGUUCUGAGGCCAGCUAUGAACAUAUGGAAGUAGUAGGACCUGAACUGAGGCUUGAACUCAACAAUCCUAGGCAACUACGGUUUAGUAACAUGUCAUCCUGAGAGAUAGAAGAGAAGCCUAGUUCUUAACCCCUGUAGAAAAGAAGAGGUUGACUCAGAGCAGAAGGGCAUAAGGUAAAGGAGUAAAAAGAGCCUUAUGUUCCCAUCCACAAUCAAUUCCCUUAUAUAACUAAAGCAUUUCUAGACAUGACUUCGACCAGUUUGGCUUGGAAAUCCUACAGGCAGUCAGGCUCUGAUACCAAAGUUGUCAGGACCCCGAUUCCAAGUCACAUCGAUCUAGCCGGUAGCACCUCAUAUCACUUUGCGGCCUCACACAUGGUAUCCCCACGGGUGUCGCCUUACCAUGGCCCGGGACCGUUUGCGCCUUUUGGCUCACAUAUAUGAUAGUGUCGCUAGCAUCCAUAUGACAGAGAACCCAGGCCGACAUGACUAUUCGUGAACCCAGAGUGGCACUAACUUACGGGGACAGGCAUACAUGAAUCAACAUCGANNNNNNNNNNNNNNNNNNNNNNNNNNNNNNNNNNNNNNNNNNNNNNNNNNNNNNNNNNNNNNNNNNNNNNNNNNNNNNNNNNNNNNNNNNNNNNNNNNNNCAGAGGCUAUUCUAGGUGCUGCGUCACAUUAUUAUUGGGCCAGGCCCAUGUAAUUUCGAAAUACUUGGGUAUAGGCUAUUUUUAGAGUCCGUAUGUGUGGGGAAACAAGAGAUAGGGUUGGUUUCGGACCCCUUCCCCAAGGGCCACGAAAUUCCCCCCUCUUCCUCCAUAUAUACAGCCCUUAGGGCGUCGUUUAGACUUUGGGUUUUGUUUAGAUUAAAAGUUCGCCAUAGCUGCAACUUCGCGUACUUCGUUUGUGUUCAAUGACCAGACAAAGGCGUCACAGAACCCCACCUUGAUCAAUAAAGCUUUCAUCUUAUAUUCGCAAUAUCCAGAGUGCAAUCUCAGUUUCUUGCUUGUUCUUCGUUUGCUCGCAGGAAACAGACCCUCGUGGUCAGGUUGAUCGUGCUCUGGCGUGGUCAAUAACCUCUCGGAGUUGGUUUAGCGAUUGCUAAGGCGCGACGUCAUCGCACGUUCGUAGUCGGAUCGUCAAAGUCGACUUCCACCAAAGCGAUAUCCAUCAUCUCAUCGAAAGACGGGACACCUUUGCCUCUAUCAAUGUGCCAACUUAUCUUUCAAUACCGUGAAGACUUCUUCCGGUGCGGUACCCCAAACAAAAGGCACAUCCUUCUUUGUAAGCUCGUUGAGAGGUGCAGCAAUGGUGCUGAAAUCUCUCACAAAGCGCCUAUAGAAUCCAGCGAGGCCAAGAAAACUCCUCACUUGUGUGAGCGUUUUGGGCUGCGGCCAACUCUUAAUAGCUUCAAUCUUGGCUUUAUCAACUUCAAUUCCCUGUGGAAUAACAACAUAGCCAUGAAAAUAUACUCGGUCGAUGCAAAAGGUGCACUUCCCAAGGUUACCAAACAAACGUGCAUCACAUAGAGCAAUAAAAACAACACGUAAAUGUUCCAAAUGUUCUUCCAAAGAUUUGCUAUAAAUCAGUAUAUCAUCAAAAUAGACUACCACAAAUCGUCCAAUGAAAGCACGUAAAACUUCGUUCAUUAGUCUCAUGAAAGUACAAGGUGCAUUAGUUAACCCAAAAGGCAUGACUAACCACUCAUAUAAUCCAAACUUAGUUGUAAAUGUUGUUUUCCAUUCAUAUCCCAAUUUCAUACGAAUUUGAUGGUGUCCACUACGCAAAUCAACUUUGGAGAAUAUGGUAGAGCCACUCAAUUCAUCAAGCAUAUCAUCUAGCCUAGGAAUAUGAUGACGAUAAUGAAUAGUAAUAUUGUUAAUGCCUCUACAAUCAACGCACAUACGCGACGUACCAUCCUUUUUCGGCACUAAAAUGAUAGGAACAGCACAAGGACUAAGGGAUUCGCGUAUAUAACCUUUGUGAUGAGGACAUCAAUACCAUUGUUACACCCACAGGCCCUGCUGCUAUACAUACUGGACCAAUUACUAGAGCUCGCGCACGCCAAUUAAAUUACCAGGUACUUUCGUUUCUUGGUAAUGAUUCUAAUGUUCAUGAGAAUAUGAUGCUGCCUAAAUUGGAUACAUUUGUUGUGCUUACAAAUGAAGGGCCUAGCUUGGAGAAGGAUGAACAUUGGAGCAAGAACAAGCAUGGAGAUGAUGGCAUGCGCAUGGGGAACAAGAACGGAGUUAAAAGUGAUGAUUUCAGGACGUUGAAGCCACCAUAAUGCGUGCAUGAAGCCUUGGACGAAAUAUACAAGAUGCUACUUCAUAACUUUUGUUCAGAGGCUAUUCUAGGUGCUGCGUCACAUUAUUAUUGGGCCAGGCCCAUGUAAUUUCGAAAUACUUGGGUAUAGGCUAUUUUUAGAGUCCGUAUGUGUGGGGAAACAAGAGAUAGGGUUGGUUUCGGACCCCUUCCCCAAGGGCCACGAAAUUCCCCCCUCUUCCUCCAUAUAUACAGCCCUUAGGGCGUCGUUUAGACUUUGGGUUUUGUUUAGAUUAAAAGUUCGCCAUAGCUGCAACUUCGCGUACUUCGUUUGUGUUCAAUGACCAGACAAAGGCGUCACAGAACCCCACCUUGAUCAAUAAAGCUUUCAUCUUAUAUUCGCAAUAUCCAGAGUGCAAUCUCAGUUUCUUGCUUGUUCUUCGUUUGCUCGCAGGAAACAGACCCUCGUGGUCAGGUUGAUCGUGCUCUGGCGUGGUCAAUAACCUCUCGGAGUUGGUUUAGCGAUUGCUAAGGCGCGACGUCAUCGCACGUUCGUAGUCGGAUCGUCAAAGUCGACUUCCACCAAAGCGAUAUCCAUCAUCUCAUCGAAAGACGGGACACCUUUGCCUCUAUCAAUGUGCCAACUUAUCUUUCAAUACCGUGAAGACUUCUUCCGGUGCGGUACCCCAAACAAAAGGCACAUCCUUCUUUGUAAGCUCGUUGAGAGGUGCAGCAAUGGUGCUGAAAUCUCUCACAAAGCGCCUAUAGAAUCCAGCGAGGCCAAGAAAACUCCUCACUUGUGUGAGCGUUUUGGGCUGCGGCCAACUCUUAAUAGCUUCAAUCUUGGCUUUAUCAACUUCAAUUCCCUGUGGAAUAACAACAUAGCCAUGAAAAUAUACUCGGUCGAUGCAAAAGGUGCACUUCCCAAGGUUACCAAACAAACGUGCAUCACAUAGAGCAAUAAAAACAACACGUAAAUGUUCCAAAUGUUCUUCCAAAGAUUUGCUAUAAAUCAGUAUAUCAUCAAAAUAGACUACCACAAAUCGUCCAAUGAAAGCACGUAAAACUUCGUUCAUUAGUCUCAUGAAAGUACAAGGUGCAUUAGUUAACCCAAAAGGCAUGACUAACCACUCAUAUAAUCCAAACUUAGUUGUAAAUGUUGUUUUCCAUUCAUAUCCCAAUUUCAUACGAAUUUGAUGGUGUCCACUACGCAAAUCAACUUUGGAGAAUAUGGUAGAGCCACUCAAUUCAUCAAGCAUAUCAUCUAGCCUAGGAAUAUGAUGACGAUAAUGAAUAGUAAUAUUGUUAAUGCCUCUACAAUCAACGCACAUACGCGACGUACCAUCCUUUUUCGGCACUAAAAUGAUAGGAACAGCACAAGGACUAAGGGAUUCGCGUAUAUAACCUUUGUGAUGAGGACAUCAAUACCAUUGUUACACCCACAGGCCCUGCUGCUAUACAUACUGGACCAAUUACUAGAGCUCGCGCACGCCAAUUAAAUUACCAGGUACUUNNNNNNNNNNNNNNNNNNNNNNNNNNNNNNNNNNNNNNNNNNNNNNNNNNNNNNNNNNNNNNNNNNNNNNNNNNNNNNNNNNNNNNNNNNNNNNNNNNNNAAUGCACGGUACCAUAGAGGCUAGAAAAUUGUGGAAGUUUGAGAGUGCGUAUAAUCCAUGGACUCACAUUAGUCAUAAAGAACUCAUAUACUUAUUGCAAAAGUUUAUUAGCCCUCGAAGCAAAGUACUACUACGCAUGCCCCUAGAGGGAUAGAUUGGUAGGAAAAGACCAUCGCUCGUCCCCGACCGCCACUCAUAAGGAAAGCAAUAAAAGAACACCUUAUGCAUCAAAAUUGUCACACAACUUUUACCAUACAUGCAUGCUACGGACUUGCCAACCUUAACACAAGUAUUUCUCAAUUUCACAAUUACUCAACUAGCACACUCUAAUAUUACCACCUUUAUAUCUCAAAACACUUAUCAAGUAUCAAACUUCUCACGAUAUUCAAUGAACUCGAUAUGGAAGUUUUUAUUUCACUCAUCUUGGAUGCCUAUCAUAUUAGGACUAAUUUCACAAUUAAAGCAAAUUCCCAUGCUGUUUAAGACUCUCAAAAUAAUAUAAGUGAAGCAUGAGAGAUCAAUAAUUUCUAUAAAAUAAAACCACCACCGUGCUCUAAAAGAUAUAAGUGAAGCACUAGAGCAAAAACUAUAUAGCUCAAAAGAUAUAAGUGAAGCACAUAGAGUAUUCUAAUAAAUUCCGAAUCAUGUGUGUCUCUCUCAAAAGGUGUGUACAGCAAGGAUGAUUUUGAUAAACUAAAAAGAAAACACUCAAAUCAUACAAGACGCUCCAAGCAAAACACAUAUCAUGUGGUGAAUAAAAAUAUAGCCCCAAGUAAAGUUACCGAUAGACGAAGACGAAAGAGGGGAUGCCUUCCGGGGCAUCCCCAAGCUUAGGCUUUUGGUUGUCCUUGAAUUUUACCUUGGGGUACCUUGGGCAUCCCCAAGCUUAGGCUCUUGCCAAUCCUUGUUCCAUAAUCCAUCAAAUCUUUACCCAAAACUUGAAAACUUCACAACACAAAACUCAACAGAAAAUCUCAUGAGCUCCGUUAGCGAAAUAAAACAAACCACCACUUUAAGGUACUGUAAUGAACUCAUUAUUUACUUAUAUUGGUGUUAAACCUACUGUAUUCCACUUCUCUAUGGUUUAUAAACUCUUUUACUAGCCAUAGAUUCAUCAAAAUAAGCAAACAACACACGAAAAACAGAAUAUGUCAAAAACAGAACAGUCUGUAGUAAUCUGUAUCUAACGCAAACUUCUGCAACUCAGAAAAAUCUACCAAAAUAGGACGACCUAGAUAAUUUGUUUAUUGAUCUACUUCAAUUGGAAUGAUUAUUUUAUCAUGUUCUGGUGAUUUUAAACAAUUGCUUUCGUGAGAAGAAAGUUUCUGAUUUUUUCAGCAAGAUCAAAUAACUAUCAUCCAAGAAGAUCCUAUAGGUUUUACUUGGCACAAACACUAAUUAAAACAUAAAAACAAAUCUAACCAGAGGCUAGAUCAAAUAUUUAUUCAACACCAGAAAGGAAAUAUAUUGGGUUGUCUCCCAACAAGCGCUUUUCUUUAAAGCCUUUUUAGCUAGGCAUUGAGAUUUCAAUGAUGCUCACAAGAAAGACAAGAAUUGAAGCACAAAGAGGGCAUUAAACACGUGACAAACACAUCUAAGUAUAACAUACUUCCUAUGCAUAGGCAUCUUAUAGGCAAACAAAUUAUCAAGGCAAGCAAAAACUAGCAUAUGCAAGGAAGCGGAAAGAAACAAUAGCAAUCUCAACAUAACGAGAGGUAAUUUAGUAACAUGAAAAUUUCUAUAACCAUAUCUUUCCUCUCUCAUAAUAAUUACAUGUAGGAUCAUAAGAAAAUUCAACAAUAUAGCUAUCACAUAACAUAUUCUCAACACGAUCCACAUGCAUGUGAAGUUGACACUCUUCCAAAAUAGUGGGAUUAACAUUAACUAAAGUCAUGACCUCUCCAAACCCACUUUCAAUAUUAUUGCAAACACUAUUAUCAAUCUCAUAUUCAUCAUGGGGGUUAAAUAAACUUUCAAGAUCAUAAGAAGAAUCACCCCAAUCAUGAUCAUUGCAACAAGUAGUAGACAUAGCAAAACUAGCAUCCCCAAGCUUAGGGUUUUGAAUAUUAUUAGCACAAUUGACAUCAAGAGAAUUUAUAGUAAAAUCAUUGCAAUCAUGCUUUUUAUUCAAGGAGCUAUCGUGAAUCUCUUCAUAAAUUUAUUCAUCACAAUUUUCAGAUUCACGAAUUUCAAGCAAAACUUCAUAAAGAUAAUCUAGUGCACAAAACUCACUAGCAAUAGGUUCAUCAUAAUUGGAUCUCUUAAAAAGAUUAGCAAGCAGAUGAGGAUCCAUAGAUCUUGGGUUCUCUGUUUAGCAAUAAAUAUACAACUAUUCCAACCAAACGAGCAAACGAGCCAAGUAAGACAUCAAGGCAGACGAAAAGACGAACAGAAGAAGGGCGAAUAAAACGGCAAAGGUGAAGUGGGGGAGAGGAAAACGAGAGGCAAAUGGCAAAUAAUGUAAUGCAAGGGAUAAGAGUUUGUGAUGGGUACUUGGUAUGUCUUGACUUGUGCGUAGACUCCCCGGCAACGGCGCCAAAAAUCCUUCUUGCUACCUCUUGAGCACUGCGUUGGUUUUCCCUUGAAGAGGAAAGGGUGAUGCAGCAAAGUAGCGUAAGUAUUUCCCUUAGUUUUUGAGAACAAAGGUAUCAAUCCAGUAGGAGGCCACGCUCAAGUCCCUUGUACCUACACAAACAAAUAAGAACCUUGCAACCAACGCGAUAAAGGGGUUGUCAAUCCCUUCACGGCCACUUGCAAAGUGAGAUCUGAUAGAGAUGAUAAGAUAAUAUUUUUGGUAUUUUUAUGAUAAAGAUAAAAAGUAAAGAUUGCAAAAUAAAAGGCGAUAGAAAUAGCUAGUUGACGGGAGAUAAAUAUGAUGGAGAAUAGACCCGGGGGCCAUAGGUUUCACUAGUGGCUUCUCUCAAGAUAGCAUAAGUAUUACGGUGGAUGAACAAAUUACUAUCGAGCAAUUGAUAGAAUUGAGCAUAGUUAUGAGAAUAUCUAGGUAUGAUCAUGUAUAUAGGCAUCACGUCCGUGACAAGUAGACCGACUCCUGCCUGCAUCUACUACUAUUACUCCACACAUCGACCGCUAUCCAGCAUGCAUCUAGAGUAUUAAGUUCAUAAGAANNNNNNNNNNNNNNNNNNNNNNNNNNNNNNNNNNNNNNNNNNNNNNNNNNNNNNNNNNNNNNNNNNNNNNNNNNNNNNNNNNNNNNNNNNNNNNNNNNNNCAGACGGCAAAGUAGUCACCUCUUUCGUCGUCCGCUAGCGGACGGCAAAGAAUCUGACCUAGCCACGCCGUGCCCUGUGGGGCCCACUUGGCUCUUUGCCGUCUGCCUUCUAGCUCUUUGCCGUCAGCUGGCCAACGACAAAAAAGAAGCUGACGGCAAAUAGCAUUUUUGCCAUCUGCACUUUAUUUACCGUCCGCUUUGUGGAAGCGGACGGCAAAGAGCCUCUUUGCAGUCAGCUGGCAGACGGCAAAAUGUCAGAUUCCAGUAGUGAUAGUCAGGCCCCGAGGAUGUAGCCAUAUCGGUGAACCUCAUUAACAAAUCUCGGUGUCAUGCUCGUGUGAUUGCUUGGUCCUCGGAUGAUCGACGGUGGCCUCAGAUUUAUGCUAACAUAUACAAUUGAUAAUAUAAUUUAGUAUUAAUAGAUUCAUCAUGAAAUAUAUUUCUAGUGAACAAGCCCGUGGAGAUAAAUGGGUUACAAGAUAUGGGAUAGACAUAUGGUUAGUACGUGGGUUAGUUUUAAUCCCAUGUUGAAAAUGGCUGAAGGGAAUGGGCUAUGUAGGUGAGUUCAGGAUAGGGAUAUAUGAUGUUUCAUGCACCUUUGAUCUAAAACAUAGGAUGUUUAAAAGUUCGAACCAUAUAUACCAAUUUGAAACCAAGAUACAUGAUCAGAGAACAGAGUACGUACUUCAAUAUAUGUUGCCAAUAGUUUUCCUGUUAUCAUGCAUUCUUAUUGACCAAUCAGCAUGAAGAAGGCAAUGACUUGCCCUCGAUCAUUUUCUUAUGUGAUGUGCUACACGUGGUCGUGGGAGACAACAACAAUACAACACUCCGGCUUUCUUAUCACAGUAGGCUGCACUUGGGCCCAUCUCCUUGUUCUGGCAUCAUAGUCAGCCACACAUGUUCCCUCUAGCUCUCCAGUCAUCACUUCAUCUGCACAUACAUAUUAACAGACGAGAUCACUUGUUACUUCCUCCGUCCCACAAUAUAAGAGCAUUUUGCAAAAUGGAGGGAGUAGUAUAUGACGAAAAUAUAUGUUUUUCCAUGCAUGACUCAGCGCACUGACCUGACAGUGAUACCCCAUGGUAGAAGGAAAAAGUAAGCACGACUAGAAAUGCUGCUACGAGUACGGCCACCCUAAACCUAAGGUUCUUCUUCUUCGCGAACGCCAUUUAUCUCUAGAUCAGAUCGAUGCCCAGUAGCUAGUUCGUGUUCUAUUUCUGUAGCUAAUAUCAGUUUCUCUUGUUUACAUGUCUAGAACUGGAACGAUAUUCCCUUCUUAUGUACUAAGGCAGGGAGGUACCUUGUCAGGCAUGUAGUAAUUCUAUUGUUAUCACAUACCUAAAUUAAUUCCGUUGUAUAUUUUUAUAACAUCCUAUCUUUGUGCACGCCAGAGAUGCGUCUUUUUGAUUAUUACCCCAAUUGUAUUGUCUCAAUCCAUACAGAUAUAAAUAUCUCAAACCAGCCAAGAACUAAUUCUCUCCAUUUCUACCACUAACUAGUUUGCAAAUUCGCCGCAUUGUUACACAUACAGAAUUACUACUGCAUGUCUUAAUAACUAAUUUUUGGUCGAGGUCUUAUUGUAUUUUGAUGUAACAUACUUGUUGCUUUUUAUUUUUUGGCAGAUUUAUAUAUUUUUUCUGGUCGUUUUUUCUUGCAUCGACAGUAUCUGGAUUGGAUCCGUAAUUAGAUUGUAGCGGAUGGGGCCAUAGGCCUUUCAGUCAUGCAUACCUAUCAUGGGCUUCAAAAGCAGCUCAAAUGGAACGGAAGGGACACCACCAAAUCACAAGGCCUAAAGCCCACGUGACAAGGCAAUGAUGGGCAGUGCUCGGCCCGACAUGAAUACAUGGAUGGUUUGUCCAUUCUUUUAAGCAAUGAGCCACCUCGUCGGUUUUCAUUAAUAAACCAUUAGUUUUACAUAACAGAAAUCAACCUGUGGUUGGAUGGUUAGAGGGACAGUGGUAUCCCCAGCCCACCAGGGUUCAAGUCCUGGUGCUCGCAUUAUUCCUGGAUUUAUUACAGGAUUUCCAGCGAUACACUUUCAGUGGGAGGAGACGUUCCCGUCGACGACGAGGCGCCUACGGUGACUUCGUAAAUUUUAAGAUGACAUGCCGGCUCAAUCUCUCGGAGGUGCUCAUAAGGGUAGGGUGUGCAUGCGUAAAUUCAUAGGGGUGAGUGAAUGCGCGUAUGUAUGAGCGCUUGUGUCUGUACUAAUGUUCAAAGAAAUGCAAGCAAAAGAACUGAAAACAUGGUUAUGGAGCUGUAAGAGAAGCAGGCUAGUAGCCAGCUGAGACGAGAGAGAGAGAGAGAGAGAGAGAGAGCGCUUAUGCCACAGGAAGCAGCGGCACAGGACACCGCACCACCGGCCAAUCGCCCACGAAUUGGUCGGCCAGGUCUACCUUCUGAGAAGAUCCCUUGUGCCACCUCCUUGCUGUAAUUUGUUCGGUAAUUCAAGUUCCAACAACUUCAGGCCUGUUUAUUCCUUGCAUGAGAAGUUCUAUUCUCUUCGUUUUUAAAUAUUUAUCUUUUUAGAGAUUUUAAAUGGAGUACCACAUACAGAUGUAUAUAGACAUAUUUUAGAGUGUAGAUUCACUCAUUUUGCUCCGUGUGUAGUCACUUGUUGAAAUCUCAUUAGUAGAAAACAGGCCUUUAGUCCCAUUUCCAGAGGGCCUUUACUCCCGGUUCUGAAACUGGGAUUAAAGCGUCGGGACUAAAGCCCAAAAUUUUGUAUUUUUUUCAAAAAAAAUUCUUAUUUUCAAAUUUCUGAAUUAUUUGACAAUUUAAUCUCUAAUCACCUCUUAUCACUGCUCAAGUAUAUGGACCACUCAUUCCAAAUCGUCUAACUUCCCGGCUGGUCACCCAUCCUCUCACUACCCCAGCCUAAGCACACUUAAGUUCCGAGUUCUAUUCCCCCUAGUUUCCAAGUCUGCACUUGUUGUUUUCCUGACAAUAGUAAGAUGUCGAUCCUAUUAACCCUUAGGAGUUGAACUUGAGCAUGAAGCACCGUUUGAGUUUAAAACUAUUAUUCUAAAAAACAAUAAUUAUUUAGUAACACUAAUAUUUCUUGAAUAAGUAGUUUGACCAUACUUUGACCAUAGUUUGACCUGAGUUUGACCAAAAAUUAAAAAAAANNNNNNNNNNNNNNNNNNNNNNNNNNNNNNNNNNNNNNNNNNNNNNNNNNNNNNNNNNNNNNNNNNNNNNNNNNNNNNNNNNNNNNNNNNNNNNNNNNNNUGGAAAGAACGGAGUCGAUGGGUGUUUGAGAAGCAAGUGCAUCAUGAAGAUGAGCUAGUUAUGCUGAACAAGCAAGACAUUGGACUAGCGACACCCAAAAUUCUCCUGAACCUGAACCUGAUUAGGUUAGUCUUUUAUUUCCCUUCGUCCUGUAAGGACCUUUAUAUUUGUUUUACUCCUGCUCAAUAUAUAGGCAGAUGAUCUGCCAAUUCCUAAAACAAAAAUUCAUGGGUCGUCAAGACUUUACCAUGAGUAGUUCAUAAUAUAUGACCUCCUCAAGCAUUCUUUGAGUCCAUCAGGGUCUAUUUGCAGGCGAACUAUGCAGUACAGGCUACACUUCAUCCAAAACAGAACUUCUCCCAAAGAGUUGGCUAUCACAAUGAGACCCUAAAAGACUCGGGGUCUACUUACAAUGGUAUCCCCUCGUGUAGGCCCAUGGCGAGUCUCAGAGACUCAGAUGUAUCUAUAAUUUUUGCUAUAUUUGUGCUACUUUUAUAUCAUAAUUACAUAGUUUUGACACGAUUUCAUAUCAACUAUUUUACCAACCUAUUAAUCCAAUACCCACGACUAAUUGGUAUUUUCUGCAUAUUUUGGACUUUAGAAAAAACACCAUUUUGGAAAAAAAAAUCACAAAGUUUUUUAUCAGACGAAGCCAAGGGUGCCAAAGGGGGCAGAGAGGAGCCCCAGAGGAUCCAUCUGGUGGGCCCAUGCGGCUCGGGAGCUGGUCACGAGGCUAGGCGCGUGGAGGCCCUAGGGCACCCCUCUGCCGCCUCUCGGCCCCCAGCCUUUCCAUACUCCCGAAACCUCUAAAAAUAUUUAUCGAGGAUUUUUCACGUUGUCGCCGCCUCUUAUUCCAUGAUGAUCUAACUGGAGGCCUUCCAGGGUACAUGUAAAUUAUCAUAUGAGGCUUGAUUAGAACACUCAGUACGAGUAGGGUAUUACCUAUAAGAUAGAGGACCCAAACCUAAUAUAUUUUGGGUAUUACCUUCCAGAUUCUCCACGUGCACCUUUGUUCCAAAAAAUCCCCAAAUCUCUCCGCUGUCUUCUACCCCAUCCUCACAACGAGAGUAGAGAUGGCACCGCUACAGAGGGCAGCCGGCGGCGCUCGAAGCUUGCCGGUGUUUUUGCUGUGGGGAAGCUGAAGCUGCCACGCGUGAUUGCAAGAACCUGGUGUAGUAAUGACGACCGAGCGGUGCUACGGACGGCGAUCACCGGGACUGUGAGCAAUGGCCCACCGUGCUAUGACGACACUUAGCAGUGCUACAAGCCAUGUCAAACGGAGCAGGGGGCUGGGAUGGCAACCAUCGGUGUUGUGAGCCGCAGCAGGCGUUCUACAACCAUGGCGAGGCGAUGCUGCAAGCAGUAGUGGGAUGGACCAGUGGUUCUGAUGGACGGUCUGUGCUGCUAUGAAGCAGGACAGUCGGUGCUCCGGCAAUGAUGAUGCUGCAAGGGCGAGGGCAAGCGGCAACAAGACACUGCAGAAAUCUGGGUCUUGUUGGAAGAACUCGAGGUCUGGGUGAUACUGCAUAUGGAGAAACUGGAAACAAAUAUUAAGCCUACAGGGCAGCAACGAGGCAGACAUUCCAGCAAUAGCUUAGCUAAGAUAAGAAGCACAGAGGGUUACGAAGACAGCUCUACAUACAAUUGUACAGUCAAGUAUGACAAAGCACGGUUUCAAAGGUGAAUACAGGAGUUUUCAUUCAUGUUCUCAAGCACAAGCAGAGUCUAUUUAAAACACAAUUUGUGAUACAUAGCAGGUUGGUGCUGCAAAGCGUUCACGAUUGAGCACUGCAGAAACAAAGCAGUCAUUCAGCGCAGGGUGCAGGUGGGCAUGAAGCCGAGUCUCAGAAGAAGUCUGGGUCUUGUUGGAAGAACUCGAGGUCUGGGUGAGUGCUUCCACCUGAAUGCCUUGAACGCCUGCGUCAACAAAAAACCAGGUGGUGGGUAUCAGCUGUUCAUUGGAGUUUCAUCUAGUGAGCACCCCACCCCUAAACACCGGUUGGGUGCAAGUAGAAAUAAGUAUAUCGGUUUCAAUUACAUGUUAGUAAAUUGUGUUCAAUGACUUCCAUGACGCAACAGUAUAUAGAAAUAUGUAUUAUGCUGAAUGUUGCAUUGGAUGUGGAUGCGAGUUAGCUAUCAGCGCGAAAAAAAAGAACUAUAAGCACCAUUUGUUUCUUACUUGAGACAGCAAACCUUUCUAAAGUGGUAUCAAAUACAAUAACAGGCCCUCUCGAGCCUUACCGGUUGCCAAGCAUAAAGUGGGUCUAUAGAAAAUGUUAGGAAUAAUUAACUUACCUCACAAAGCGAGAUGGUUCAAAUCCUGGGACAUCAGGCGGGCCAAUUGGAUCGUAGCGACCACCGGGUGGAACACUCCUAUUGUGAAGUAUUUGAUUCCGUUUAUGACAAAACAAAUACUGCAAUGGAAUAAUUAGUAAAGGAAAACUGAACAUACCCCGGGUCACCAAAAGGAGUAGAAGGAGUUGAAGGAAAGAAGCAUGGAUCAUUUGGGCCUGUAGUAAUCAAAUAGAUUGUAAGUUAGACAGUGCAGCGGAACAAAUGUGAAGAGAUUCCAGAGAUAUUCAGUUGACAACAUAUUACCAACGUGCAUACUACCACCUGUCUCACCACUGCAAACAAUAAGACCCAUUUGUUAGUUAUGUUUGAAAGAACUGAUGUGUUGAUGUUUUUACAUGUAUAUAUUAUGGUAGGAGAGAGACCUAUCAGGGUAGAAGCCUGCACCAGGAGCAGGGAAGGUGUCAUCACGACCAAACAGAACCACUGGAGGAUAAAUCAGGCUGUAACACAAUACAUAACUGGAAAUAUUAGCCCCGUUAUCAAUAUCCUAUAACUAAUUCACUACUGGUAGCCUGUUUAUCCUACAACAGUGAUAGAGAGUGCAAAUUUUGGUAAAACCAAACAUAAUUAAGUUGACAUGAACCCCUUCACUAGGUUGUGCACUACUUGUAAAGAAAAUUAUCAGGAAAUUCAUAGUACUAUGAAGUUUUAAUACAGGCACAUGUACCAAACUUCAAAGGAAAAAUAUAAUCAUAUGCGUGAUGUAGCAAAAGGACAGGAGAGAGAGAGAGAGAGAGAGAGAGAGAGAGAGAGAGAGAGAGAGAGAGAGAGAGNNNNNNNNNNNNNNNNNNNNNNNNNNNNNNNNNNNNNNNNNNNNNNNNNNNNNNNNNNNNNNNNNNNNNNNNNNNNNNNNNNNNNNNNNNNNNNNNNNNNGUUGAGUCAGGUCUGAUUCAUCGGGGAUGAAUCAGAGGCGUGUGAACAUGUCCUACUGUGUGUGAGCUAAGUGUGUGAACACGUUUUGGUAAAGGUAGCGGUGAGAGGCCAUGUAGGAGUACAUGGUGGGUUGUCUCAUUGCAGCCGUCCUCAGGAACUGAGUUCUGUGUUUGUGAUCCACGAUUCAGCUACUACCAUACAUUGGGCCCUGAAAUAUGACCCCGCUCGACUUCUUAUUCACCCUAGUCCUCUGUCCAGGAGUUGCAAGUAGUUUCUGGUGUUUGUAGCUUACUGGAGGCCGUGGACAGCGCUGACCGUAGGGGUGGGCUGUGAUGCGGUAGGUACGUGGCACGGUGUACCGGAUGCCCGUUUGGUAUCUCGGGAACCCUGUUCACAUCGUUUGGGGCUGUGAGCGAAACUCCGGCCGGAUCUCCUCAUGGAUGGAACCCGAAUAGGCAAUAAACCUGUACUAGAGACUUGAGUGUUUAGGUAGGUCGUGGUCUACACCCACGUCGGCUUUCGCUUGAAGUCUGCCGAGCACAUGUCGUGUGCAGACGCUAAGUGGUGGAAACAUGUAUGAAGAAGUACACCCCUGCAGGGUUAACAUCAUCUAUUCGAAUAGCCGUGUCCGCGGAAAAGGACUUCUGGGUUGCUUAUAUCAGUUCAUAGACAAGUGAAAGUGGAUACUCUAAAAUACGCAAGAUAAGCGUGAGUGCUAUGGAUGGCGUUCUCGUAGGGAGACGGGAGCAGAUCCAUAGUGGUGUAUUGAUAUGGUGAAUAUGUGGACUCGUGUGCGCCAUCUCAAAAGAGUUACUUGCAGUCGUAGUUCCGGAUAGCCACCGAGUCAAAGCUGGCUUGCUGCAGUUAAACCCCACCAUCCCUUUGUUGAUAAUGAUGCAUAUGUAGUUAGUUCUGAUGUUAGUCUUGUUGGGUACAUUUGUACUCACGUUUGCCUAUUUUAUGUUUUUGCAGAGAGACUUCGGUCUCACUAGUAGUUUCGCGUGGACUUCGACGUUUAGCUUGUUACCUCAGCUACGAUCUUGUGCCCUCGGCAGGAUCUGAUAGAUAGUCAGGCUUUCAAGCCUUUUUCAUUUAUAGAUGUCUGUACUCAGACAUGAUAGCUUCCGCUUGUGCUUUGAUUUGUAUGCUCUUAUUGUUGGGUCAUGAGACCCAUGUUUGUAAUAUCUCGCUCCUCGGAGUCUAUUGAAUAAAUUACUUGAGUCGUAGAGUCAUGUUGUGAUGCCAUGUUGUGUUUGCACAUAUCGAGCAUAUUGUGUGUAUGUUAUUGAAAUGCUUGGUAUGUGUGGGAUCUGACUAUCUAGUUGUUUAUCUUUAGUAGCCUCUCUUAUCGGGAAAUGUCUCCUAGUGUUUCCACCGAGCCAUGGUAGCUUGCUACUUCUCCAGAACACUUAGGCUGGCCGGCCUGUGUCCUUCUUCGUUCCUGUGUCUGUCCCUUCGGGGAAAUGUCACGCGAUGAAUACCGGAGUCCUGUUAGCCCGCUUCAGCCCGGUUCACCGGAGUCCUGCUAGCCCAGUGCUACAGCCUGGAUUCACUCGCUGAUGACCGACACGUUCAAUGCUGGGUCAUGGAUGCCUGUCCCUGUAAGUCUGUGCCACUUUGGGUUUACGACUAGCCAUGUCAGCCCGGGCUCCUUAUCAUAUGGAUGCUAGCGACACUGUCAUAUACGUGUGCCAAAAGGCGCAAAAUGGUCCCGGGCAAAGGUAACGCGACACCCGUGGGAACACCGUGCGUGAGGCCGCAAAGUGAUAUGAGGUGUUACAUGCUAGAUCGAUGUGGCAUUGAGUCGGGGUCCUGACAGCGUUGGUAUCAGAGCUUGACUGCCUGUAGGAUUACCAAGCCAAACUAAUCGAAGUUGAGUCUAGAAAUUCUUUAGUUAUAUAAGGGAAUUGAUUGUGGGAUGGAACGUAAGGCUCUUUUUACUCCUUAUACUUUAUGCCCUUCUGAUCUGAGUCAUCUUAUCUUUCCUACGGGGAUUAAGAACUAGGCUAUCUCUUCUUUCUAUCAGGAUCACGUGUUACUAAUCCGUAGACUUAUAAGAUUGUUGGAUUUAAGCUUGAGUUCAGUUCCUACUACUUCUGUAUGUUAACUGUUGAUCUCCAAACCUUGAUAUUGUGCCUCUGAGUGGCUAUGCCACCAUUUUUGUAGCAUGUUUCAAAUCUUUUUGAGCAUUUACAGCCGUUAUGCUGUCCGAGUCAUCCAGGUUUCUAAAUAGUCUGAAGCAAUUUGCAAAUCCCUUCUUUCCAUUCCCGAUGUCCUUUUGGUCAGAUUAAUCACACAAAUUAGUGAGUUGAGGUACCUUAUUACCUUGACAUAUAUGUUGGAGAUAUUAUUAUGACCCUAGGUGUCUUAGGGGAUCAUCCAGUAAUUUAGCCAUGAUUUGUGUUCCCAGUGUGAUGAUUCUGGCCAUCAUUCUCGAAAGCAUCCUGUGAUGCUACUUAGUAAUAGGUAUUCUGUUCCUGGGUUCUUGAACCCAAGAUUCACUCUACCUACUUCAUGUUGAUAGUAAUUGCUAGUGCCUUUAGGAUAUUAGUAACUUUGCGAUAGUCCUCGAAGUUCGUGGUAUUUCCUUCUUCCAAAUACUAUGAACCCCUUUAGGGCAGAUAUUAUUGGACCAAAAGAUGACAACAAGAGUGCUCUCGAUGAGUUCUCCAUGCUAUAUUGUGACUCUGCCAGCUCAACCUUUCUGCAUGGGUUAUCCGGAAGAAUUAUGUUGAACCUGGUUCGACAUACUAAUCUAUGCAUCCACAACUCAGAAAGUUAUAUGUUCCUUUGAGUUGUCCCUCUUUAGUUGUCUACUGACCUUCGUCUAUCAAUUGAUAGUCAAGAGUAUGCAUGCAUUCAUUUAUCGAUGCCUAUUACUCUUGUGGUCCGUCAAGCCAUUCUAUCGCGGAAUGACUAGGAGAAACAAACUCCAGUACCUCUUCCAUAUCCAGGAUUGGGUCAAAGAAGUUGUGCUCCGCAGAACAAAUUGCUAAUCCAGCUUUUGCUCUGUUCUACCUUGGAGUAUUACCAUCUUUUAUAUCGGGAUUGUUAUAGGAAUUGCACACCAUCCUAUGAACUCUUGGUACAGUGAUACUUCUCGCCAUCAUUACUCAUUCCUCGGUUCCNNNNNNNNNNNNNNNNNNNNNNNNNNNNNNNNNNNNNNNNNNNNNNNNNNNNNNNNNNNNNNNNNNNNNNNNNNNNNNNNNNNNNNNNNNNNNNNNNNNNGUUACCGGCAAGUCACUUUACUCGUUCCGUAACACAUCAUCCCGUGAUCAACUCCUUGGUCACAUUGCGCAUAUGAUGAUGUCCUACCGAGUGGGCCCAGAGAUACCUCUCCAUUUACACGGAGUGACAAAUCCCAGUCUCGAUCCGCAUAAAACAAUAGAUACUUUCGGAGAUACCUGUAGUGCACCUUUAUAGUCACCCAGUUACGUUGUGACGUUUGAUACACCCAAAGCACUCCUACGGUAUCCAGGAGUUACACGCUCUCAUGGUCGAAGGAAGAGAUACUUGACAUUGGCAAAGCUCUAGCAAAUGAACUACACGAUCUUUUGUGCUAGUCUUAGGAUUGGGUCUUGUCCAUCACAUCAUUCUCCUAAUGAUGUGAUCCCGUUAUCAACGACAUACAAUGUCCAUAGCCAGGAAACCAUGACUAUCUGUUGAUCACAACGAGCUAGUCAACUAGAGGCUCACUAGGGACAUAUUGUGGUCUAUGUAUCCACACGUGUAUUACGAUUUCCGGAUAAUAUAGUUAUAGCAUGAAUAAAAGACAAUUAUCAUGAACAAGGAAAUAUAAUAAUAAUACUUUUAUUAUUGCCUCUAGGGCAUAUUUCCAACAGUCUCCGACUUGCACUAGAGUCAAUAAUCUAGUUCACAUCGCCAUGUGAUUAACACUCACAGGUCACAUCGCCAUGUGACUAAUACCCAAGAGUUUACUAGAGUCAGUAGUCUAGUUCACAUCACUAUGUGAUUAACACUCAAUGAUUUUUAUGUUUGAUCAUGUUGCUUGUGAGAGAGGUUUUAGUCAACGGGUCUGAACCUUUCAGAUCCGUGUGUGCUUUACAAAUCUCUAUGUCAUCUCCUAGAUGCAGCUACCACGCUCUAUUUGGAGCUAUUCCAAACAACUGUUCUACUUGGAGCUAUUCUAAAUUAUUGCUCCAUUAUAUGUAUCCGGUCUCUCUACUCAGAGCUAUCCGGAUAGGUGUCAAGCUUGCAUCGUCGUAACCUUUACGACGAACUCUUUUACCACCUCCAUAAUCAAGAAAAUUCCUUAGUCAACUAGUUACUAAGGAUAACUUUGACCGCUGUUUUGUGAGCCAUUCUUGGAUCACUCUUGUACCCCUUGACUGACUCAUGGCAAGGCACACUUCAGGUGCGGUACACAACAUAGCAUACUGAAGAGCCUACGUCUUAAGCAUAGGGGACGACCUUCGUCCUUUCUCUCUAUUCUGCCGUGGUCGAGCUUUAAGUCUUAACUUCGUACCUUACAACUCAGGCAAGAACUCCUUCUUUGACUGGUCCAUCUUGAACACCUUCAAGAUCAUGUCAAGGUAUGUGCUCAUUUGAAAGUAUUAUUAAGCAUUUUGAUCUAUCCUUAUAGAUCUUGAUGCUCAAUGUUCAAGUAGCUUAAUCCAGGCUUUCCAUUGAAAAACACUUUCAAAAUAGCCCUAUAUGCUUUCCAGAAAUUCUACGUCAUUUCUGAUCAACAAUAUGUCAACAACAUAUACUCAUCAGAAAUUCUAUAGUGCUCCCACUCACUUCUUUGGAAAUACAAGUUUCUCAUAAACUUUGUACAAACCCAAAAUUUUUUGAUCAUCAUCAAAGCAUACAUUCCAACUCUGAGAUGCUCACUCCAGUCCUUAGAAGGAUUGCUGGAGCUUUGCAUACUUAUUAGCAUCUUUCGGGAUUGACAAAACCUUCCGGUUGUAUCACAUACAACCUUUCCUCAUUAAAAUCGUCGAGGAAACAAUGUUUUGACAUCCUAUCUGCAAGAUUUCAUAAAUAAUGUAGUAAUCGCUAAUAUAAUUCCAACAGACUCUUAGCAUCGCUACGAGUGAGAAAAUCUCAUCGUAGUCAACUCCUUGAACUUGUCGGAAAACAUCUUAACGAGAAGUGGAGCUUUCUUAAUGGUGACAUUUACCAUCAUUGUCCAUCUUCCUUUUGAAAUCCAUCUGUACUCAUUAGCCUUACGACCAUCGAGCCGUUCUGCCAAAGUCUACACUUUGUUUUCAUACAUGGAUCCUCUCUCGGAUUUUAUGGCCUCAAGCCAUUUAUCGGAAUCCGGGCCCACCAUCGCUUCUCCAUAGCUCGUAGGUUCAUUGUUGUCUAGCAACAUGACCUUCAAGACAGGAUUACGUACCACUCUGAAGUAGUACGCAUCCUUGUCAUCCUACGAGGUUUGGGAGUGACUUGAUCCGAAGUUUCAUGAUCAAUAUCAUAAGCUUCCACUUCAAUUGGUGUAGGUGCCACAGGAACAACUCCCUGUGCCCUGUCACAGACUAGUUGAAGAGACGGUUCAAUAACCUCAUCAAGUCUCCACCAUCCUCUUACUCAAUUCUUUCGAGAGAAACUUUUCCUCGAGAAAGGACUCGAUUCUAGAAACAAUCCAUAUUGCUUUCGGAUCUGAAUUAGGAGGUAUACCCAACUGUUUUGGGUUUCCUAUGAAGAUGCAUUUUAUCCGCUUUGGGUUCGAGCUUAUAAACCUGAAACUUUUUCAUAUAAGCGUCGCAGCCCCAAACUUUUAAGAAACGACAACUUAGGUUUCUCUAAACCAUAAUUCAUACGGUGUCAUCUCAACGGAAUUACGUGGUGCCCUAUUUAAAGUGAAUGUGGUUAUCUCUAAUUCCUAACCCAUGAACGAUAGUGGUAAUUCGAUAAGAGACAUCAUGGUACGCACCAUAUCCAAUAGGGUGAAACUAUGAUGUUCGGACACACCAUCACAUUAUGGUGUUCCAGGCGGUAUUAAUUGCGAAACAAUUUCCACAAUGUCUUAAUUGUGUGCCAAAACUCGUAACUCAGAUAUUCAUCUCUAUGAUCAUAUCAUAGACAUUUUAUCCUCUUGUCACAAUGAUCUGCUACUUCACUCUGAAAUUACUUGAACCAUUCAAUUAUUCAGACUUGUGUUUCAUCAAGUAAAUAUACUCAACUUUUACUCGAAUCAUCUGUGAAGUAAGAACAUAAUGAUAUUCACUGCAUGCCUCAGCACUCAUUCGACUGCACACAUCAAAAUGUGUUACUUCCAACAAGUUGCUAUCUUGUUCCAUCUUACUGAAAAUGAGGCUUUUCAGUCAUCUUGCCCAUGUGGUAUGAUUUGCAUAUCUCAAGUGAUUCAAAAUCAAGUGAGUCCGAACGAUNNNNNNNNNNNNNNNNNNNNNNNNNNNNNNNNNNNNNNNNNNNNNNNNNNNNNNNNNNNNNNNNNNNNNNNNNNNNNNNNNNNNNNNNNNNNNNNNNNNNUUUUGCUUGCCUGGCACUUCUGAAGAUAACAUUGAGUCUUCAUCAGUGUCAACGAUCACAUCAUCGGUAUCACGUCUAUCGAGAGGGGACAAAUACCGGCAAAUACAGAAAAACACGAUCAAUGCAAUGCACAAUAUGAUGCAUGCUAUGACAUGGCAAUAUGAAUGUGUUUUGGGCUAAUGCACCUAAAACCAGAUUAAAUGAAGUUGGUUUGAAUAUAAAAUUCAAAUUCAAACUCCAUAUGUGAUUAUUCAAAUGCCAUUUAUAUGAUUUGUGCUAAACAGCAUCUAUAAGUUGUUCUAACAUGCAUGAAAAUGGUACAGAUGGAUUCCUUGAAUUUUUCUGAUAAUUUUUCAUAUAUAAUUUAUUUCAUUUGGAGUUACGGUUAAUUUUCUAUGAUUUAUUGAAGUUUUAGCUAUUUUCUGGAAUUUCCUGAAUAUAAUUAAAUCCAGAAAAUACUUUAUGACAUCAGCACUGCGUCAUGCUUGCGUCAGCAAGUCAACAGGGGUCGGUCAGGGUCAAACCUGACAUGUGGGGUCCACACGUCAGUGUCUCAGUCAACUAACCAGGUUAGUUAGCCCUAACUAACUUAGUUAGUCGGGCGGGGCCCGCAUGUCAGUGGCUCACUUAAUUAACUAAAUUAAUUAACACUAAUUAACCUAAUACUAAUUAAGCAGGCGCCUGGGCCCACACGUCAGGGGGUCAAACCCCGGGUCAAACCCGCCGGAGUUGACCCGCGGCUUGUCGCCGGCGAGGCCAGCCGCGGUGGCGAGCCUCGGGUUUGCGUCUCCGGCGACCAAACGGCCGACCGAGUGCACGCGCGGGGAGCUGGGACUCGCCCGCAUCCAGGGAGGCUUGCGGCAGCAGCGGGGACGGCCGGAGCUCGCCGGAAACGAGCUCGAGGCGGCGCCGGCGUUCGGUGGUUUCUGGCUACGGGGCUGCUGCGGCCGUGGUAUCGCGUUCGUGGCACCUACAGCAGCUACGCGAGGCAGCGAGCAUGUUGGACACGACGCCCGGACCAAAUGGUCGCCGGAGUCGUGUCGGCGGUGAGUGCAGGCGGCGACGCAGUCGGGCGAAAGGGGCGAGGCGGCUACGGCGUGCCAGAGAGGGAACGGAGAGGGGGAAAAGGUUCGGUGGCUCACGGCGGUUGCAGCGGACGCCGAAGCAGGCUCGGGGAAGGCCGGACGGCGACGAGUCGAUGAUGGGGAUCCGCGGCGGCCGGCGAUGAAGAAGAGGCCGGUGACGGUGUUUUGAGGCAUCCGGCGUCAAGUGAGUCGACGGGGAGGACGAGGAGGUCGAAGCGGAGCUCCCUGGGGCGUUGGUGAGGCUAGGGGUGGCCGGUGGCCGUGGUUAUGGCGAGCGGCGGCGACGGGGGCGUUCGGGUGUGCGAGAAGGAGAGGCGAAGGAGAGACGAAGGGGACGAGUGAGGGGGUCCAGGGGUUCGGGGCGGCGCCGAAGAGAAGGCCCGAGGCGUCGCGGUGGCGAGGGACGCAGGCAGGCAGGGAGGUGGCGUGUCGCCACGGCGUGCGCGUGCGCUGUCUCCCUCCUCUGCCUACUGGCAGAGGUAGAGGACGACUGGCACCAGGCCAGUGGGCUGGGCUGUCCACUGGGCCAGCCAGGUAAGGCCCAGGUGAGACCCUGUUCUUUUUAUUUUUAUUUCUGUUCUGUUUUGUUUUCUUUUUUUCUUUUCUUUGCCACUGUUUUCAAAUUUAAACAAAUUCAGAACAGUGCCAAAUAUCCUCUGAAUAAUUUAUGUUGCUAGAUGGACUUUUUCCAAAAAGCUCAUAAAAUAUUUCAGGGGUAUUUGAAAUUAUAUUCUAAUUAUAUGAAUAUAAUUCAAAUUCAAAUAGCUAAAGAUUUAAAUUCAAAGUCCCAAAAAUAAAUCCUUAAAAAUGUUCAAUAUUUUGGUUGGGACCAGAACCCUUACCAAAAAUUAUCAAACAUUUAAGAAGAGCCUUUUGGAGCAAUGAAUGAGAUUUCUAGGGUUUUUGCCCCUCUUUUAUUUAGGGUUUUGAGGCUUCCAAUAUUCCUCAAUUCAAGUUUCAAAAAUAUAGACAUGAUGCACACAUGAAGCUAGGCUAGAGCAAUGCCAGAAGCUAGGGAUGUGACAACUCACCCCCACUAAACAAGAAUCUCGUCUCGAGAUUCAAGCAUAGGGUAAGGUGAAGGGGAAACGCAACUAGUAUAAUCUUCACGAUCCAGGUUGCACUUCAUAGGAACGUUGAUUCGAUCACCAUCAUCGUCUUGAAGUCUUGCUCUGAGAAUUCCUGUCAACAUGACAUGGAGGGAAGAAGGAGACUCUAGAAGGGUCGAUCUUCUCGAAGAUCAAACAACUCACGGAAUGAGACAUAACAAUAUCUCUCGAGCUGAGAGACGAAGCACACCUCUAGAGGGAUGGAGUGGAACAGAUGACGAGGGUUCACUAGGUAGACAACAAUUCCACACCUAAGAAGGUGGUAAUCGAUUGUCAACGUAGCGAGGAGUUGAGUUGCCAUGGCACCAUUAUGAUGCACCUUAGGGAAGGUGACUCGAAGAUAUUUCCUUAAGUGGCAAAAAGAAUUACUUUUGAUUCAGAGAUCAUGAAACUCUUUAAACCAGCCUAAGACAAUUCUCGAGCGAUCGUUUGGAGGGGUCAGUAGGAUGGCAUACUCAGACUUGGAUGAUGUGGAUUACCUUGUUGAAGACAACGCAACGGAUGAAUUUGCUUAUCACCGGAAAUGGAUGAGACCCAUGGUAGAAUGGCACAUUGGUGGUGCAAGCUGGGAACAAAAUGCAAAUGCUGGGAAUGAUUCUAGUAACUGGGGAGAGGCUCAACAAUAGAGAGUUAUUCCACUAUUGGAAUGGUUAUAGCAUUGCCGAGGAAACUGAGAGCGCUAUACAGUUAAUGCCGACGAUUAAACCUAGCACUUGCGCGUGCUCUCAAGAACUUGAGCAUUUCCAUAUUCAUCAAGGUUUUACCAACAUCCGUGUCCAGGAUCCUGGCAACACAACUUGCUACCAUGAUGAAUGAUGAUGGAUGAUGCAGAUGCAAAGGAAGAUAACAUCAUCUCAGAUUUCACCCUUGACGGGGCCAAGGAGAUAGAAUCUGGAUGAUCGACCGAGAGACAUUUAGCACUCCGCUUCUAAUGNNNNNNNNNNNNNNNNNNNNNNNNNNNNNNNNNNNNNNNNNNNNNNNNNNNNNNNNNNNNNNNNNNNNNNNNNNNNNNNNNNNNNNNNNNNNNNNNNNNNACAAAUGAUGUUAGAACAUGUUGGAAAUUGAUGACGUUGCUUUGAAUGCUGCAUACUGAAGACAAAAGAAGUCCGAAGUUGAAAUAAGUUUUAAAAACAUUGAAGUGCCCGUGUAACAGAUGAGUUCUUGUCCAAAACCCUGAUACUCCGAAAGAGUUUGUCCAAUUUGUACAUGAAGUGCGUCCAGUUUUUUCCGUGACCCUCUCUACUCUUUCGCACAUGCUAUGCGGGUGAAAUGAUGAUACCAUGCCAAGUUUCAACAUUUUCAGAAUUCAUUUUGUAGUGAUUUUCAAUUUCACGGUCAUUUAGCUCUCUAAACAAUUAGGUAAAUGACCGAAAAACAAAUGAUGUUAGAAAAUGUUGGAAAUUGAUGACGUCGCUUUGAAUGCUGCAUACUGAACACAAAAGAAGUCCGGAGUUCAAAUAAGUUUAAAAAAUAUUGAAGUGCCCGUGUAACAGAUGAGUUCUCGUCCGAAACCCUGAUACUCCGAAAGAGUUUGUCCAAUUUGUACGUGACGUGCAGCAAGUUUUUGCCGUGACCCUCUCUACACUUUCGCANNNNNNNNNNGAGUUCAAAUAAGUUUAAAAAACAUUGAAGUGCCCGUGUAACAGAUGAGUUCUCGUCCGAAACCCUGAUACUUCGAAAGAGUUUGCCCAAUUUGUAUGUGACGUGCGUCAAGUUUUUGCCGUGACCCUCUCUACUCUUUCGCACAUGCUAUGCGGGUGAAAUGAUGAUAUCAUGCCAAGUUUCAACAUUUUUAGAAUUCAUUUUGUAGUGAUUUUCAAUUUCACUGUCAUUUAGCUCUCUAAACAAUUAGGUAAAUGACCAAAAAACUACAAAUGAUGUUAGAACAUGUUGGAAAUUGAUGACGUUGCUUUGAAUGCUGCAUACUGAAGACAAAAGAAGUCCGAAGUUGANNNNNNNNNNGGUAAAUGACCGAAAAACAACAAAUGAUGUUAGAACAUGCUGGAAAUUGAUGACGUCGCUUUGAAUGCUGCAUAUUGAACACAAAAGAAGUCCAGAGUUCAAAUAAGUUUAAAAAACAUUGAAGUGCCCGUGUAACAGAUGAGUUCUCGUCCAAAACCCUGAUACUCCGAAAGAGUUUGUCCAAUUUGUACAUCAAGUGCAUCUAGUUUUUGCAGUGACCCUCUCUACUCUUUUGCACAUGCUAUGCGGGUGAAAUGAUGAUACCAUGCCAAGUUUCAACAUUUUCAGAAUUCAUUUUGUAGUGAUUUUCAAUUUCACGGUCAUUUAGCUCUCUAAACAAUUAGGUAAAUGACCGAAAAAAACAAAUGAUGUUAGAACAUGUUGGAAAUUGAUGACGUCGCUUUGAAUGCUACAUACUGAACACAAAAGAAGUCCGGAGUUCAAAUAAGUUUAAAAAACAUUGAAGUGCCCGUGUAACAGAUGAGUUCUCGUCCGAAACCCUGAUACUCCGAAAGAGUUUGCCCAAUUUGUACGUGACGUGCGUCAAGUUUUUGCCGUGACCCUCUCUACUCUUUCGCACAUGCUAUGCGGGUGAAAUGAUGAUAUCAUGCCAAGUUUCAACAUUUUUAGAAUUCAUUUUGUAGUGAUUUUCAAUUUCACUGUCAUUUAGCUCUCUAAACAAUUAGGUAAAUGACCAAAAAACAACAAAUGAUGUUAGAACAUGUUGGAAAUUGAUGACGUUGCUUUGAAUGCUGCAUACUGAAGACAAAAGAAGUCCGAAGUUGAAAUAAGUUUUAAAAACAUUGAAGUGCCCGUGUAACAGAUGAGUUCUUGUCCAAAACCCUGAUACUCCGAAAGAGUUUGUCCAAUUUGUACAUGAAGUGCGUCCAGUUUUUUCCGUGACCCUCUCUACUCUUUCGCACAUGCUAUGCGGGUGAAAUGAUGAUACCAUGCCAAGUUUCAACAUUUUCAGAAUUCAUUUUGUAGUGAUUUUCAAUUUCAGGGUCAUUUAGCUCUCUAAACAAUUAGGUAAAUGACCGAAAAAACAAAUGAUGUUAGAAAAUGUUGGAAAUUGAUGACGUCGCUUUGAAUGCUGCAUACUGAACACAAAAGAAGUCCGAAGUUCAAAUAAGUUUAAAAAACAUUGAAGUGCCCGUGUAACAGAUGAGUUCUCGUCCGAAACCCUGAUACUCCGAAAGAGUUUGUCCAAUUUGUACGUGACGUGCAGCAAAUUUUUGCCGUGACCCUCUCUACUCUUUCGCACCUGCUAUGCGGGUGAAAUGAUGAUACCAUGCCAAGUUUCAACAUUUUCAGAAUUCAUUUUGUAGUGAUUUUCAAUUUCACGGUCAUUUAGCUCUCUAAAUAAUUAGGUAAAUGACCGAAAAAAACAAAUGAUGUUAGAACAUGUUGGAAAUUGAUGACGUUGCUUUGAAUGCUGCAUACUGAACACAAAAGAAGUCCAGAGUUCAAAUAAGUUUAAAAAACAUUGAAGUGCCCGUGUAACAGAUGAGUUCUCGUCCGAAACCCUGAUACUUCGAAAGAGUUUGCCCAAUUUGUAUGUGACGUGCGUCAAGUUUUUGCCGUGACCCUCUCUACUCUUUCGCACAUGCUAUGCGGGUGAAAUGAUGAUAUCAUGCCAAGUUUCAACAUUUUUAGAAUUCAUUUUGUAGUGAUUUUCAAUUUCACUGUCAUUUGGCUCUCUAAACAAUUAGGUAAAUGACCAAAAAACUACAAAUGAUGUUAGAACAUGUUGGAAAUUGAUGACGUUGCUUUGAAUGCUGCAUACUGAAGACAAAAGAAGUCCGAAGUUGACAUAAGUUUAAAAAACAUUGAAGUGCCCGUGUAACAGAUGAGUUCUUGUCCAAAACCCUGAUACUCCGAAAGAGUUUGUCCAAUUUGUACACGAAGUGCGUCCAGUUUUUGCCGUGACCCUCUCUACUCUUUCGCACAUGCUAUGCGGGUGAAAUGAUGAUACCAUGCCAAGUUUCAACAUUUUCAGAAUUCAUUUUGUAGUGAUUUUCAAUUUCACGGUCAUUUAGCUCUCUAAACAAUUAGGUAAAUGACCGAAAAAACAAAUGAUGUUAGAACAUGUUGGAAAUUGAUGACGUUGCUUUGAAUGCUGCAUACUGAACACAAAAGAAAUCCGGAGUUCAAAUAAGUUUAAAAAACAUUGAAGUGCCCGUGUAACAGAUGAGUUCUNNNNNNNNNNNNNNNNNNNNNNNNNNNNNNNNNNNNNNNNNNNNNNNNNNNNNNNNNNNNNNNNNNNNNNNNNNNNNNNNNNNNNNNNNNNNNNNNNNNNGAAUCAGCCAAAACUGCGAGUGUUGUUGACCAACAUGUAAGCACAUCUUGGGGUUCAACAACUAUGGAAAUCGUGACGGGACCCCAAAACGGUGAGUAAUAGUCCGCGAAACAGGUCAGAAUUGGCCAAAACUGUGAGUGUUGAUGACGGACACAUAAACGCACCCCGGGGCUCAUCAAUCGUGGAAAUCGCUCUGGGUCCCCAAAACGCUGAGUAAUAGUGCACGGAACAGACUUGAAUCUGCCGAAUAUGUGAGUGUUGAUGACCGACACGUAAGCGCACCUUGGAGUUCGACAAUCAUGGAAAUCGCUUUAGGACCCCAAAACGGUGAGUAAUAGUCCAUGAAACGGGCCAGAAUCGGCCAAAACUGGGAGUGUUGAUGACCAACUCGUAAGCACACCUUGGGGUUCAACAACUAUGAAAAUUGCUUCGGGGCCCCCAAAACGGUGAGUAAUAGUCCACGAAACAGGUCGGAUUUGGCCAAAACUGUGAGUGUUGACGACGGACACAUAAACGCACCCCGGGGUUCAUCAAUCGUGGAAAUCGCUCUGGGUCCCCAAAACGUUGAGUAAUAGUGCACGGAACGUAUUAGAAUUGGCCGAAUAUGUGAGUGUUGAUGACCGACACGUAAACGCACCCCGGGGUUCGUCAAUCGUGGAAAUGACUCCGAGACCCCAAAAUAGAGUAAUAGUCCAAGAAACGGGCCAGAAUCGGCCCAAACUGUGAUUGUUGAUGACCGACACGUAAGUGCACCUUGGAGUUUGACAACCAUGGAAAUCGCUUUGGGACCCAAAAAGGUGAGUAAUAGUCCAUGAAAUGGGCCAGAAUCGGCCAAAACUGCGAGUGUUGUUGACAAACACGUAAGCAGACCUUGGGGUUCAACAACUAUGAAAAUCGCUUCGGGGCCCCCAAAACAGUGAGUAAUAGUCCACGAAACAGGUCAGAUUUGGCCAAAACUGUGAGUGUUGACGACGGACACAUAAACGCACCCCGGGGUUCAUCAAUCGUGAAAAUCGCUCUGGGUCCCCAAAACGCUGAGUAAUAGUGCACGGAACGUAUUACAAUAGGCCGAAUAUGUGAGUGUUGAUGACCGACACGUAAACGCACCCCGGGGUUCGUCAAUCAUGGAAAUGACUCCGAGACCCCAAAAUAGAGUAAUAGUCCAAGAAACGGGCCAGAAUCGACCCAAACUGUGAUUGUUGAUGACUGACACGUAAGUGCACCUUGGAGUUUGACAACCAUGGAAAUCGCUUUGGGACCCGAAAACGGUGAGUAAUAGUCCAUGAAACAGGCCAGAAUCGGCCAAAACUGCGAGUGUUGUUGACCAACACGUAAGCACACCUUGGGGUUCAACAACUAUGAAAAUCGCUUCGGGGCCCCCAAAACGGUGAGUAAUAGUCCACGAAACAGGUCAGAUUUGGCCAAAACUGUGAGUGUUGAUGACGGACACAUAAACGCACCCCGGGGUUCAUCAAUCGUGAAAAUCGCUCUGGGUCCCCAAAACGCUGAGUAAUAGUGCACGGAACGUAUUAGAAUAGGCCGAAUAUGUGAGUGUUGAUGACCGACACGUAAACGCACCCCGGGGUUCGUCAAUCAUGGAAAUGACUCCGAGACCCCAAAAUAGAGUAAUAGUCCAAGAAACGGGCCAGAAUCGACCCAAACUGUGAUUGUUGAUGACUGACACGUAAGUGCACCUUGGAGNNNNNNNNNNAAUGACUCCGAGACCCCAAAAUAGAGUAAUAGUCCAAGAAACGGGCCAGAAUCGACCCAAACUGUGAUUGUUGAUGACUGACACAUAAGUGCACCUUGGAGUUUGACAACCAUGGAAAUCGCUUUGGGACCCGAAAACGGUGAGUAAUAGUCCGCGAAACAGGUCAGAAUUGGCCAAAACUAUGAGUGUUGAUGACGGACACAUAAACGCACCCCGGGGUUCAUCAAUCGUGGAAAUCGCUCUAGGUCCCCAAAAUGUUGAGUAAUAGUGCACGGAACGUAUUAGAAUCGGCCGAAUAUGUGAGUGUUGAUGACCGACACGUAAACGCACCCCGGGGUUCGUCAAUCGUGGAAAUGACUCCGAGACCCCAAAAUUGAGUAAUAGUCCAAGAAACGGGCCAGAAUCGGCCCAAACUGUGAUUGUUGAUGACCGACACGUAAGUGCACCUUGGAGUUUGACAACCAUGGAAAUCGCUUUNNNNNNNNNNGAGUAAUAGUCCGCGAAACAGGUCAGAAUUGGCCAAAACUAUGAGUGUUGAUGACGGACACAUAAACGCACCCCGGGGUUCAUCAAUCGUGGAAAUCGCUCUAGGUCCCCAAAACAUUGAGUAAUAGUGCACGGAACGUAUUAGAAUCGGCCGAAUAUGUGAGUGUUGAUGACCGACACGUAAACGCACCCCGGGGUUCGUCAAUCGUGGAAAUGACUCCGAGACCCCAAAAUUGAGUAAUAGUCCAAGAAACGGGCCAGAAUCGGCCCAAACUGUGAUUGUUGAUGACCGACAUGUAAGUGCACCUUGGAGUUUGACAACCAUGGAAAUCGCUUUGGGACCCAAAAACGGUGAGUAAUAGUCCAUGAAACGGGCCAGAAUCGGCCAAAACUGCGAGUGUUGUUGACCAACACGUAAGCACACCUUGGGGUUCAACAACUAUGAAAAUUGCUUCGGGGCCCCCAAAACGGUGAGUAAUAGUCCACGAAACAGGUCAGAUUUGGCCAAAACUGUGAGUGUUGACGACGGACACAUAAACGCACCCCGGGGUUCAUCAAUCGUGAAAAUCGCUCUGGGUCCCCAAAACGCUGAGUAAUAGUGCACGGAACGUAUUAGAAUAGGCCGAAUAUGUGAGUGUUGAUGACCGACACGUAAACGCACCCCGGGGUUCGUCAGUCAUGGAAAUGACUCCGAGACCCCAAAAUAGAGUAAUAGUCCAAGAAACGGGCCAGAAUCGACCCAAACUGUGAUUGUUGAUGACUGACACGUAAGUGCACCUUGGAGUUUGACAACCAUGGAAAUCGCUUUGGGACCCGAAAACGGUGAGUAAUAGUCCAUGAAACGGGCCAGAAUCAGCCAAAACUGCGAGUGUUGUUGACCAACAUGUAAGCACAUCUUGGGGUUCAACAACUAUGGAAAUCGUGACGGGANNNNNNNNNNNNNNNNNNNNNNNNNNNNNNNNNNNNNNNNNNNNNNNNNNNNNNNNNNNNNNNNNNNNNNNNNNNNNNNNNNNNNNNNNNNNNNNNNNNNCCCCAGGUGGGCUGGUGCGCCCCCCCACCAAGGCCCAAGGCGCAUGGGAGAGUGGGAGGGGGCAAACCCUAGGUCCAGAUGGGCCUUAGGGCCCAUCUAGUGGGGCGCCCCCCCUCCUCCCCUUGGCCGCCCCCCUUGAUGGGAUCUAGGGCUGGCCGCCUCCUCUUGGGGGUGGAAACCCUAAGGGGGGCGCAGCCCCCUCCCCCAUAUAUAUAGUCGAGGUUUGGGCUGCCCAAGACACACGAGAACGUCUCUCUUUUGGUGCAGCCCUACCCCUCUCCCUCCUCCUCCUCUCCCGCGGUGCUUGGCGAAGCCCUGCGGGAUUGCCACGCUCCUCCAUCACCACCACUCCGUCGUGCUGCUGCUGGAUGGAGUCUUCCCCAACCUCUCCCUCUCACCUUGCUGGAUCAAGGCGUGGGAGACGUCACCGGGCUGCACGUGUGUUGAACGCGGAGGCGCCGUGGUUCGGCGCUUAGAUCGGAAUCAACCGCGAUCUGAAUCGCUUCGAGUACGACUCCCUCAUCCGCGUUCUUACAACGCUUCCGCAUCGCGAUCUACAAGGGUAUGUAGAUGCACUCUCCUUCCCCUCGUUGCUAGAUCACUCCAUAGAUUGAUCUUGGUGAUGCGUAGAAAAUUUUGAAUUUCUGCUACGUUCCCCAACAGUGGCAUCAUGAGCUAGGUCUAUGCGUAGUUUCUAUGCACGAGUAGAACACAAAGUAGUUGUGGGCGUAGAUGUUGCCAAUUCUUCUUGCCGUUACUAGUCUGAUCUUGUUUCGGCGGCAUUGUGGGAUGAAGCGGCCCGGACCGACCUUACACGUACGCUUACGUGAGACAGGUUCCACCGACUGACAUGCACUAGUUGCAUAAGGUGGCUAGCGGGUGUCUGUCUCUCCCACUUUAGUCAGAACGGAUUCGAUGAAAAGGGUCCUUAUGAAGGGUAAAUAGAAAUUGGCAUAUCACGUUGUGGUUUUAUGUAGGUAAGAAACGUUCUUGCUAGAAACCUAAACAAGCCACGUAAAAACUUGCAACAACAAUUAGAGGACGUCUAACUUGUUUUUGCAGCAUGUGCUAUGUGAUGUGAUAUGGCCAGAAGAUGUGAUGAAUGAUAUAUGUGAUGUAUGAGAUUGAUCAUAUUCUUGUAAUAGGAAUCACGACUUGCAUGUCGAUGAGUAUGACAACCGGCAGGAGCCAUAGGAGUUGUCUUUAUUUUUUGUAUGACCUGCGUGUCAUUGAAUAACGCCAUGUAAAUUACUUUACUUUAUUGCUAAGCGCGUUAGCCAUAGAAGUAGAAGUAAUCGUUGGAGAUCAUGAUGAUGGAGAUCAUGGUGUCAUGCCGGUGACAAAGAUGAUCAUGGUGCCCCGAAGAUGGAGAUCAAAGGAGCAAAAUGAUAUUGGCCAUAUCAUGUCACUAUUUGAUUGCAUGUGAUGUUUAUCAUGUUAUGCAUCUUAUUUGCUUAGAACGACGGUAGUAAGUAAGAUGAUCCCUCACUAAAAUUUCAAGAGAAGUGUUCCCCCUAACUGUGCACCGUUGCAAAGGUUCGUUGUUUCGAAGCACCACGUGAUGACCGGGUGUGAUAGAUUCUAACGUUCGAAUACAACGGGUGUUGACGAGCGUAGCAUGUACAGACAUGGCCUCAGAACACAUGCGAAACACUUAGGUUGACUUGACGAGCCUAGCAUGUACAGACAUGGCCUCGGAACACAAGAUACCGAAAGGUCGAGCAUGAGUCGUAUAGAAGAUACGAUCAACAUGGAGAUGUUCACCGAUGAUGACUAGUCCGUCUCACGUGAUGAUCGGACACGGCCUAGUUUGACUCGGAUCAUGUAUCACUUAGAUGACUAGAGGGAUGUCUAUCUGAGUGGGAGUUUAUAAUUAGAUGAACUUCAUUAUCAUGAACAUAGUCAAAAGGUCUUUACAAAUUAUGUCAUACGCUUUAGUUCUACUGUUUAAGAUAUGUUCCUAGAGAAAAUUUAGUUGAAAGUUGGUAGUAGCAAUUAUGCGGACUGGGCCCGUAAACUGAGGAUUGUCCUUAUUGCUGCACAGAAGGCUUAUGUCCUUAAUGCACCGCUCGGUGUGCUGGCCUCAGCGUCGUCUGUAGAUGUUACGAAACAUCUGGCAUACACGUUUUGAUAACUACGUGAUAGUUCAGUGCGUAAUGCUAACGGUUUAGAAUUGUGGCACCAAAGACGGUUUUUGAAACGUCGCAGAACAUGUGAGAUGUUCCGAAGACUAAAAUUGGGAUUUCAGACUAGUGCCCACGUCAAGAGGUAUGAGACCUCUGACAAGUUUCUUAAGCCUGCAGACUAAGGGAGAGAAGCUCAAUCGUUGAGCAUGUGCUCAGAUUGUCUGAGUGCCACAAUCGCUUGAAUCGAGUGGGAGUUAAUCUUCCAGAUGAGAUAGUGAUGGUUCUCCAUAGUCACUGCCACCAAGCUAUUAGAGCUUCGUGAUGAACUAUAACAUAUCAGGGAUAGACAUGAUGAUCCUUGAGCAACUCGCGAUGUUUGACACCGCGAAAGUAGAAAUCAAGAAGGAGCAUCAAUUGUUGAUAUUUAGUAAAACCACUAGUUUCUAGAAGGGCAAGGGCAAAAGGGAUACUUCAUGAAACAACAAAUCAUUUGCUGCUCUAGUAAAGAAUCCCAAGGUUGAACCCAAACCCGAGACUAAGUGCUUCUGUAAUGAGGGAACGGUCACUGAAGCAGAACUACCCUAGAUACUUGGUAGAUGAGAAGGCAGGCAAGGUCGACAGAAGUAUAUUGGAUAUACAUUAUAUGAAUGUGUACUUUACUAGUACUCCUAGCAGCACCAGGGUAUUAGAUACCAGUUCGGUUGCUAAGUGUUAGUAACUCGAAAUAAAAGCUGCGGAAUAAACGGAGACUAGCUAAAGGUGAGAUGACGAUAUGUGUUGGAAGUGUUUCCAAGGUUGAUGUGAUCAAGCAUCGCAUGCUCCCUCUACCAUCGAGAUUUGGUGUUUGCGUUGAGCAUGAUUGGAUUAUGUUUAUCGCAAUACGGUUAUUCAUUUAAGGAGAAUAAUGGUUACUCUGUUUAUUUGAAUAAUACCUUCAAUGGUCUUGCACCUAAAAUGAAUCUCGAUCGUAGUGAUACACAUGUUCAUGCCAAAAGAUAUAANNNNNNNNNNNNNNNNNNNNNNNNNNNNNNNNNNNNNNNNNNNNNNNNNNNNNNNNNNNNNNNNNNNNNNNNNNNNNNNNNNNNNNNNNNNNNNNNNNNNCCGCCGCCGAAGAAUAACAGGAGGUCUGUGUGAGUAGAGGGAUGGCUAGGCCAGCAAUGGGAGUACGGUGGGGCGGUGAGGCCUGCGUGGCAGCACUGCCGGCCGCGGGGUGUCUAGCUUGCAUUGCUUCUUAUUUGUUGAAAUAGUUUCUGCUUAGUGUACACAAACAGUCGUGAAUUUGCCAUGCCGUCCUAUUUUUCAUAUUAUUCCAUCCUGGUAUCAUGUGUUUGCCUUACAUCAAAGUAGUGAUUGUCAGUACCAUGCAUGAAUGAGUUCCGAAGAGUGAAUUUUAUUGCUUUUUCUUGUCGUAUUUACUUGACAAUUCAAAAUCAAUAAAGCGGAAGGAAGUUAGCAAGGCAGCGGAUAAAGGUGCUCCUUCCAAACUGAGGGCCUCUACAGAUUCUAUUCCUCCAUCCCCCCAAGAUGAUUUCCAAGACAACACAUGCAUAGACACUCAACGUAGCUGUGUUGAUGAUGAGCACGUCUCCCCAAGUGCACCAUCACACGUGCUCCCUCUAACUUGGCACUGUUAUAUGUGGUUGCAUGUUAUGUAUGAUGUCUAGCUUGUAUUGCUUCUAAUUUUGUUGAAUUCCAUCUGCUUACUUUACACAUUAUACUUGUGAAUAAGACACAUGUUCCUGUUUCUAUAACAUACAAUAUCCAUCUAUCGCACCAUGUUCUUACAACAAAGUACUACUGUUGUGUAACCUGCAAUAAUCACUUAUCAUAAGACACGUUUGACUUGGGAGUGUGAUAUAGGUUACAUCUCACAUUCUUUUCUACCUUGUACUACUUCUAAUUUGUUGAAAUGGCACUUAUGAUGAGACAGUUUUAACUUGGUAUAGUGAUAUUCGUUGCAUCUUUCAUAUGGUGUAUAGCUUUCAUUGCUUCUAAUUUGUUGAAAUGCCUUCUCCUUAGUUUACACAUCAUAAGUUGUGAAAAUAUGCAAUGGCACUAAUGACGAGAUACCUUUAACUUGGUAGUGUGAUGUUGUUUGCAUCUUGCAUAUGAUUUAUUUCUUGUACUGCUUCACAUUUUUAAAACGCCAUUUAUGAUGAGACACUGUUAACUUGGCAGAGCGAUAUUUGUAGCAUCUUUCAUGUGGUGUCUACCUUCCAUUGCAUUGCUUCUAAUUUAGUGAAAUGUCUUCUGCUUAGUUUACACGUCAUAGUUCUGGUUAUCUCAUGCCAUCCUGUUUUUUGUACAUAUUAAAUCCUCCUAUCAUGUGGUUGUCUAACAUCAAAGUUCAGUUCGUCUGUAUCACGCAUCAAUUUGUUCCGAAGAACUAAAUUGUUAUUCGUUUUUCUUGUCGGCUUGACUUAACAUGGCACAGAGAAAGAGGAAGCAACACAGAUUGACAGGGAAAGGGAAGUGGAAGAAUCCUGCAGAUUCUGCUGGUACUGAUGGUGCAAUAGAAGGUCAAAUUCCAGCGGAAAAUUGUACAAACAGGGUAUCCCGUGCUACACAAGGUGCAGAACAAGCCAAACAGAAACAAAUAGCUGCCACCAAACAAGCAGAGACAGCCCUAGUUGUUGCAACACCUUCCACCAUACCACCAGUUGCACGAUUUACUCGUUGGCCAACUCAGCUAGCAGCACCUUCAUGAGCUCCCUUGCCACCUGACACUACUUCCGAAGCACUCUUGACACAAGAUGAGUUGGCAAGAUCAGAUGAACUUUUUGAGCUUCAGCAGGAAGAAGGUAGUUGCUGGAGUCAAGUUACAGUUGCAUGCUUCUAUAUAUGUAGUCUCACAGUUCGAUGUACACUAACACUUCCUUUGUUCGUUGUUGGACUAGCGCUUAGGCGCAAGAGGAAACAAACAUCAGGGAUAAUGUUCGAUAGGUUAACUAAAUCUAGAGGAGGAAGAAUGGAGAUCCAUUUUGAGGCAGGCUUAAAAAGGCCACGUGAUGCUACACAGUUGGCCAAGUUAGUAUCAAAGGCAGCAGUUGCCAUUAGGUGUCAUGUACGUAUCCUCCCAACAUGGAUUUAGUAUAGGAAUGAAAAAGACGAAACCCAGUUCAACACCUUCCUCGACAAUUUAUCUGUAAGUAUGGUUAUGUGGAAACUAGUAAUAUCGUCUUGCUCUGUCCCAUUCUUUCUAGGUUGAUGAUAAUGAGACUCCCAUAAUUUUCAACAGGUGAGGUUCAAGUUGGAUAGAGAAGAUGAUGCAACCAGGCAAGCUUGCACCCAUGUUUUCAAGUCUGCUCUGCGACAGUAUCGGUAUAACUUGAGGAAAACUCACUCUGAAGGUAAGGCUAACAGUGAACUUGCCCAAACAUCACCAGUGGAAAAUAUAUCGGAUGAAGACUGAAGGGGCCUCGUUAAACACUGGUCUGAUCCGAAGUAUCAGGUACAUUAUAUAUAUAUAUGUGAUCAGAUCACAUGUUGAAGUCCUAUUUACGCAUGUGCCACACAAAUCUAUCUUCUUGUAGGUGAACUGUUCAAAGAACAAGGCCAGCCAACUGUAGCUAUAUUGCACACUACGAGGCUCUUGUAAUUAGCUGUUGUUUCACUCUUUUUGUUGUACCAUAUUAUCAGAUCUAUAUUGACUUGUUCCAAAUGCAGAGGAAAGCCCGCAAGGACCAAAAAGUAUCUGAACCAAAUGUUGUGGAAAUCUUCAAGGACUGUCACACCAGCAAGACGAAGGGCAUGACUACACCAGUCAAAGCCGUUGCUGUAAGUCAUUAAUCCUCAUGCAUUUUAACUACUACUUACUCUAACUUGUGCCUUGAACUGCAUGUUUGCAGCUAAUGUCUAUUACUCAUUUCAAUUUUAUACACAGUUGUCUUAGCGUAUCAUUGCACCUUAAAAAGUUUACAAGAGAGGAGUGAUGUUCCUUCGAUCUUGACCUAUAAUCUAGUUCCAUGCUGGACUUGCCCACACAAUGUUACAAUUGCUUGUUUGUCUAUUCUCAGUUGUUUUGUGAUAUGAAUGAUGUCAUACUAUGCUUACCGUAUUAUAUACUAUGUCUCUAUCCUUAGCUGUCAAUACAAUGUGAAGAAAUAGACAAUACAUUAGCCAUGUUACAUGGUCAUAAAUUUGGAACCUGGUUUUAUUAUGUACUUUGUAGUAAAAUACAACUAAUAUUUUACAUGGGUUCACCUAAAUUAGUUCUGUAUAUAGACCGNNNNNNNNNNNNNNNNNNNNNNNNNNNNNNNNNNNNNNNNNNNNNNNNNNNNNNNNNNNNNNNNNNNNNNNNNNNNNNNNNNNNNNNNNNNNNNNNNNNNGGCAGCGUGGAGGGCGUCCAGGUGGGCUGCAAGGACGAGGAGAUCAACAUUGACGAGUGGAGGAGUGCCUUCCCCAAUGACCCCGAUGACGGACCCGGCCCGGACCCGACUCGUGGCACACCGUACCUGACGAGGAAGGAUUAGCUUGACCUAUACUUCGACCGAAAGUAGUUUAGCUUAGUUUAAAUUUAUGUUUUAUGUUCAGUUAUGCAAAUUUAUCUAUGUUUCUGUUUGAAUCCAUGCUACUUUCGGUUGAACCUGCUUUGAACUCGAUCAAAUUGAUGUUUACAACAUUAAGUUUAGGCGAUCGACUAGAAACGGCCAAAAAAUGCUGGAGUAUAUAUAUAUAUCCACCAAUUGUUUUAGUCCUUUAACUUUUAAAGGAUCGGCUAGAGAUGGCCUUAUGCCUUGUUUAUUUCAGUUCUUCACAAUGUGAUGCUCUAUAUGUGCAACUAUUUGCCGUGCAAUUCAAUUUCAUCAAUAACAGUUUCAACAAUACCACUAUGAAUUAUGAUAUUUGGUUCUUGUUAAGGAUAUUGUAGUUAACAUGCCUUUUCGUUUUUUUAACAAUAAGUAGUGUACUUUAGACCUGCACAAUACCAAUUUGAUGACUAUUUGCUUGUUUGUAAAUGUUAUGCCUGAUGCAGUUAACACACCUUUCCACUUCUUGUUUUGCUUAACUAGCGUGCUUAAGCCUGCACACUAAAGCUAUCAUUUGUAGAUUAUGUUGUCUACCAUGGAUAUAUUUGGUUGAUGUUUAGCCUGUUGUGCUUAACAUGCCUUUAUAUGUACUCAUACAUGACAACGUUGAGAACAGUGCUGUUUUUUCCAUCGAGGUUAGGUUCAUCGCAUUGCUUAUAUGUACUCACUAUUCAGGAUCUCGGUAGCUGGUACCGUAUAGCUUGGGGGCUGAUAAGGGAUUAAUCGUCGAAUCGGACAUUUCACUAAAUAUAUCUGUAACCCAUUUAUCAGUAGGUUAACUAGGCCAUAUUUAAUAUAUUUGAGGCUACAUUGCAACAUGCAUUGUAAUGAAUGACUAAAUAUGCAAUCCCAGGCUACAUUGCAACAAGGAAGAGUGUUACCUUAAUGUUCGUGUUACCUUAAUGUUUUGAUGAUGUCUAUAUAUACGUGUAUAAAAUGUUAUAUAAUGGGAUGGAGGGAGUGUUGUACUACAUCAUUUUGUAAUUGUUGUUUAGCUUCUAAUAUUAACUUGGUGCUUUUAGGUACACAUGUCAUUGCCAAAAAUCCACACUUCGACCCUUUCUGCGUAUGUGGUAAUGAGAUAUUCAUGAACGAGCAUCAAGUGAGGAAGGUGAUAAAGAUUAUUAUUAAAAUGGGUCAAAAGAUGUUAAUCGAACUAUAUGUUUACACUUUAUGCAAGACAAAAGUGAACUGUUGGAUGGUAAGCAAGAACCCUGUAGCCGUCUUUUUACUGCCCGUAAUGAGUUGUGUUUGAUGACAAUGUUUGAAUCUUUUUUCCUUUGCAGUGGAUCCUGAGGCAGUUUAAUCAAGAUUACCUCUCAAACUACAUGAUUAGCGGACGACAAUCACAGGGGGUUGGACUAGACUCGUGCGUUCCUUCUGCAUCCAGGAGAGCAUAAUAAGUCCAUUCCGCUUCACCUUAUUCAGCAACUAGAAUGUCUGUCGCCUCUUUCUUUACCAUCUGUAAUAGUACAAGUAUAGAACCCUGGUUCAUCAUUCUUUAUUUGGUGCUUAUGUAAUUCUUAAACAUAUGUACCUGUGAAUUGAAUAUUGCAUUGGUUGUUUGAACCUGAUGGAUAUGAAUAAAGCUAUAGCCUACUUUCAAGUUUAAAUUUGGUACAAUUUUAAAUAGCAACAAUUACAUUAGGGCGAAACUACAGUGUGCGGGUCAUUACGGCGCACACGGUUAAUAAAGCACAACGUGUGCGAUAUAAAUCAUAAUCCGACAUGGUUCACGGAGUGGAAACGUGUGUAACAAUGCACACAAUUGCUGCUUGCAAAGCUUGUGUGAUGUCAGACACUAUCGCAUACAGUGCGGGAAAACUAAAUGUUUGUGAAUGUCUACCUAGCUUACACGGUUUAUAAUCAUGAACUGUUUGUGAUGUGCCAGGCAUCGUAAACGUAGAGCCGUGCCUAAAAUACUCCCGUGCCUAGAAUCUGCCUGGGUUUAGGUAAAAACCACAAAACUCCGACUAUGAUGGCAAUGCCAGCACAAACCAGUAGCAAGGAUGAAUUGUUUCAUAUAUGCGAGACAUCGUAAACGGUUAUAGAGGGGCAACUGUAUGCAUGAAGGCUCCCUAUCCUCGAUGGUUUCUGUGUUGUGGGGGAAACACCCCCAAUCACCCACACUCACUAGGUGAUGGUUCCAAAUGCCGUCGCGGAAAGGGGUUUUAAACUUGUUGUAUAGCACCAACACGUACCAGUGAAAUCACAUAUCUCAAUGAGUGUGUUUCUUAUAUCUGUGUCCAUCAGAUUCUUGAUGAACAUCGGGAGGAUUUGUGUCAACAUUACGUGGAAAUCAUGUGACUUCAUGUGUCCCAACUUCAUUUUACCUGAGCUUGCAUUCACGAGACUUCUGAUGUUUGUGGAGUAGGAAGAGGGUGUCUUACCUAACAACAAAGAGUUGAAGAACUCUGUUGCUUCUUUUCUAUUGAAAUCGCAAGAGCAUCUCCACUCAUUCAGCCCCCAGCUAACCCGCUGAUUAUGGUUUGGCCCUUCGGCAGACGCUUUAUUGGACCUGGGGCAAUCCAGUUCCCAGCCACGCCCCCAGGUUUCGGGCCCAAGACGCGUAUAAAUUCAAACUUGACAUUUCCCGCAACCCAAGAAAAUGCCACAAGUUCGAUAAUCAACAGCUGCCACUAAGUUCGGCGAUCACCAUGCCACAGUUGGGCAAUCAAUCAUACUCAAAAGUUCAGCAUUCAAAAGGAAGGACACGUAGGCAAUGCAUCAAAUGGCGGCGUGCUCCACCGUGUUGGACUGUCGGGAGUCGGCGUGCUCGGGUUGGUCGGUGUCGGUGUCAGUGUCAAAACCGGCAGAUCUCGGGUAGGGGGGCCAAGCUAUGAGUCUGAGGAUCAAUGGUAACAAGGGACAAUGGAACACAAUGUUUACCCAGGUUCGGGCCCUCUUAAAGGAGGUAAAACCCUAUNNNNNNNNNNNNNNNNNNNNNNNNNNNNNNNNNNNNNNNNNNNNNNNNNNNNNNNNNNNNNNNNNNNNNNNNNNNNNNNNNNNNNNNNNNNNNNNNNNNNUGCAGGCAAUAUGAACGAGAUGGGGUAGAAAUAAAUCACUUACAGAACGUAGCAACUGAUGAUAGAUUUGUCGAGCUCGCGCAGAUUGAAAAGCUGGAACAAUUCACUCAGAUGAAUUUGUACAUAGUAAUGUUUGAAGUGAUGCUCAUAUCUAACUUCCGCAUAAAUAUAUUCUUUGGCGUUUUUAUUUUUUAUGUAACCCUUGUACCAUUUCAGCAGACCUUUCAUUUGUGGAGGUAGAUCCUCUUCCUGCGCAGGCUCGACGAGAGGCCCAUUCUUCACAUAUGUAAUUACUACCUCCUUCACUGGCGCCUCAUCAAGGCCUAACAGUUCACGAAGAGUAAUACCUAAGUUGGCCGCUUGUUCUCUGGCACUCGUUACAGUCAAUCCAUGUGCUGCCGCAGCUGCUAUGAUAUCGGGGUCAUCCGGACCGGCGGCUUUCACUAUAAGCGGGGCAAUCGAUUGUUUGCUUUGUUCCCUGAGCUGGGCAACUCGUUUCCCGCUUUUUUUACUUUCUAAUUCCGUUUUCUCGGCCUCCUCCAAGGCUUUGUUCUCCUGGUUCUCCGCCCGCUCUUUCUUCUCCUUCAACAUGAGUGCCUGCCUACGAAGUUCACGUGCAUAGUCGUCAGGCAGAUUCUUCGCGGCUUGGGACGGUGUGCUCAAAAUGACUUAGCCCACUUCUUUUGCUCAUCAGAAAAUACUGGCUUGGGCUCGGGCUCUCUUUUCUUCUUGCAGUCCGCCUUCCAUUUCUCAUGAUCAGCAGCCGCGGCCACGGCAGUUUCCUCGGCACUACGUUCCCAAGGCCUUGUGGGGAGAGGCUUCAGUGAUGGCUCCGGUACCUUUGUGGUCUUAGGUACAUAAGGGUCCGGGUUAAUAAUCCAGGACUGCUUCUGCUUCUUUGCCGGAGGUGGAUUGGGGGGCGGCGUCUGAUCACCCGCCGGACGAGGACUGGGGGCGGUGUCUGAUCACCCGCCGGACGUUGUGGACUGGGGGGCAUCGGCUGACGUGACGGAGGUGUAGGUGAACCGCCACCACCGUAGGGGGGUGGACUUGUUGUCCUUGGUGCCUCGCCUGGAAACUUGAUAAACUUCUUUUGCCAUAGAAUGAAAUGGCGCUUGACAUCUCCAAGUCUUUUCUCCCCUUCAGGUGUAGCAAUGUCAAUCUCCAGGUCCUCAAACCCUUGGACUAUGUCCUCCACCGUGACACGAGCAUAGCCAUCUUGAAUGGGGUUGUUGUGGUGGAGUGCUCCAGGUAAACAUGGUAAAGCACUGCCGAUGGCUACCUUCAUGGACAUGUUCCCGAUAGGAUAAUACAGAUGACAUUCUUUCAUCUUCUUUAUAUCGUCCACGGGGUAGCGAGGAGGCUCCGGUGCAGUAAUUUCGACCACCAGAGGCUCCGGUGCAGUAAUUUCGAUCGUCGGUGCAUCUGCACCAGCCGGUGGGGCCUCCGUGGAAGCCACACUGCUUCUCCGCUGCUGGCUUCUGAGAUCUGCUGGAUGAUCUUCAUGCUGCGCCCGAGCUGCAUCUCUUUCGGCUACUAGUACACUCACGGUUUUCUUCAUCACAUCCAUUUCCGAUGCCAACCGCGCCACAACAUCUGCUUCCCGAUCCAUCUUUCUCUUCCGGCUUCUGUAACCGUACGGGUCAUCGUUCUGGGGGAACCCUAUUUUCCACGGAAUGUGCCCCAUGCCUCGUACACGUCCUCCGUGUUCAGGAUUCCCAAGGGCUUUUGUCAGCGCGUCGUUCUCUCUGUUGAACUUGAUCUUCCCCUCUUGAGCAUCCCUCAUUGCGUCAAUAAGGGCUUGGGUGGGUUUAAUUAUUUUGCCCCGGUAAACACACUCCCCUGUCUCUGGGUUCAGCGUUCCCCCAUGCCCGUACCACCAGCUUUUGGCCCUUGGGUCCCAUCCCUCCGUACCUGGACGGAUUCCUCGCGCCCUCAGCUCGUUCUCCAUCUUCUCCCACCUAGGCUCCCAAAGGCGAUACCCUCCUGGCCCCAUAAUAUGAUUGUACUCCUUCUUAGCCGCAUUUUCCUUAUUUUUUUCGAUAUUUGAAUGAACUGCUCCGAUUUCUUUUGCUUCACAAAUUCUGGCCAAUCAUGUUUCAGUUUCUCAUAUUGUCCUUUGAAAUCCGGAGUCUUGUUCUGCUUGCCAAAGUCAUGGGCUAGAUUUUGCUUGAAUUUCCGGAAUGCGUCGGCCAUCUUAUGAAGAGCGAACUGUUUGACUAGCCUCCUCCUCUCCUUGUUUUCCUCAAUCUUGUUACCCUCCUCAUCGAAUUUGAAGAUUGUCGUUUAUCGACGUUUGUUCGGCAUCAUCUUGCUGACGGCGCCAUUCAUCUUCACCGUCAAGGUUCAGAUAAGAAGAGAUAUCAUCUUCUUCUUGUCCGGUCGGCACAUAUAGAAUAUCGCCGUUUAUGAUGCCGAACAUAUGUGCUUCACCGUCCGGAUCAUAGUUGUCCAUAAUCGGGUCAGCUCUAUCGUCCGCCAUUAUGUCAGUCCUGAAAACAUGUAGUAAAAACAAAUUAAUUAAGUGAAGAAGGGGGGCGGUGGCGGUGGCGGUGGCGAAAGGGCGGUGGCAAAAGGAGGGGGCGAGGAAGGGGUGGGAGAGGGUGUCGCGGUAGAGCGCGAGACGGGGCGGCAGACGACGGCGUCACGGAGAGGGAGGCGAGGACAACACACAUGUAUAACCCUCGCCGCCCCCUCUCGAUCCCAAAAAAAAAACACCGCGCGCAUCGCCGCCCCCCUCGCCGCCCCCUCUCCGUAUAUGCGCGGGGUCGUGUACAUUUUUUUAAAGCGGGAUCGUUGUACAUUGACGCGCGGGGUCGUUGUAUAUAUUGAUUAUCAAGUUUUACUUUUUUUGUUGUUAAUUAACAAGUUUUAUAUAGGUUUUUUUGUUAAUUAUCAAAUUUUACAUUUUUUUGUUAAUUAUCAAGUUUUAAGUUAUUUUACCGUUUUUGUUAAACUAAUUAACUAGUUAAAAUUAAAAAGAACAAAAAAAAAGAAAA
rnacentral:lncRNA from 1 species